rnacentral:lncRNA from 1 species
UUUCUUUUCUUGUGGUUUUUAUAAACAAAAUUGCUGCAAAGAGUCUGUCAUCGUGUAGAGGAGUUCACUUUUACUGCAGAAAUUGCUGAUUCAAGUUGACUGCAAGUCCCCUGAGGUAAGAAUUUGUUUUCUUGUUUGAGCUAGUUAAAUUGUACUUGCCUAACUAUUGAAAGUUUCAUGUUUCUUUGUGAUAUUAAUUUCAAUCUUUAUUUAUGAAUGUAGCUGUUGGGAUGCAUGAUCCUCUCACAACCUCCCCCUGAAAUGAAAGCGAAUGGUGAACUCUUGUUAGCACAAGGUGCCUUCGUCAAGCCUUGAAUAGGCUCUUAGGCUCUCUUGUAAAAAUGGUGAUUUUGUUCAGCCGUGCCACCAUUGUCCAAGGCCAACAUAUUGUUUGUUUUAACUUUUAAGUUGUUUAAUAAGCAAGGACGGAGCUAGAAAUGUUUUUGACUGGGGGUGUAACAAGUUGUUGAGGGUCAGGUACAAUGAAAAAUCUCUAAAUUAAAAAGUUAAAUUUUAAAUUGUAAUGCCACAAACAAAUGGAUGAAGUAAAUUCAUAUAAAAUACUUUGCAGAGUAAAUUUUUUAUAUCAAGUUAUGAUACUUCAUCGAUUGAAUCCAAUCUAUUUAUGAAACCCCCAGUUCAAUCGAGUUUGAUUUAAGUUAGAAAACGUGGAAUAUUCGGAACCAAAAUCAAAAAUUUAAUUGUUGUUUUAAUUGUCAUGACAAUUUUUUUCAUCGCCCCAAAAUCUGAGUGGGGGCGGAUGCCCCCUCUAGGCCUUAGGUAGCUCCGCCCUUGUUAAUAAGCCAUUUGCUUGCAUGACAAGAAACUGGCCUUCUUCUCAAAUGAUUGUUAUUUUGGAAGGGGUUAAAUCCACACUUGGGUUCUUUUCUAUGCCUUGAAGACAAGGACUUUAUAAUUUUCUUGUGUUAAAUACCAAAAAUAAGGAUCACAAACUAAUCAAAAGAGAUUUUGAACUAGUCAGCAAUCUUUGAGUAAAGGGAAAAUGUAGGGAAGUGAAGCAAAGUGAAUAAACGAAGGAAUACACUUGCAAAUGUUCAAGAAACAUUAAUAACAUGACUAAUAAUCAAAGCAUAACAAUAGUAAUAUGAAAAUAAAUGACAAAUACAAGCCAUCGGGUAAGUUUUGACCUAGUCGGACAAGUUCUUACAAUUGCGGGUAAUGUUCUAUUGAAGGCUACAACAGAAAUUGAUACUAUAAAGGGAAGUAAUAAAUCUAUAAAUACAAGGGAGUUUUUGAGAUACAAGGGGAAUAAUUGAAAAGUAAGCUGCAUAGCUUUUAAGAAGUCUCUUGGUUUGAGUUGAGUGUCCCUUUCUCUAAUCCCUCUACUGCCUUUUAUAGAAGCUUUUUUUUCUUGUGAAUUAAGUCCUUCAAACUCGGUUCAUUCCCUCUCCUCCAAUGUGAUGUGUGUGAUGUGAUGUCUGUCAGAGGAUUAGCCCCUACUUGGAUACUCAAACUCAAAUCCUCUCCAACUUACAAGUUUUUGUUGACGUGACUGGUAUUAAAAAAGAUAUGUAAAUAUAUUGUAAAUAUUAAAAUUCUUUAUUAGGAAGGAUAGUUGUGUGUCCUUAUUGUUUCCUUAUAGAACAAGGAUUGUAUCUUGUAUAUAUUGUCUAUUAUGCAAUACAAUGUUUUUUAAGCCGUAAAAUUCAAGUUGGUAUUAGAGCCAGGGAGCAGGCCCUUACCGUAUUGCCAACUGAUGGGUGGGUCCCCUUGGCCCCGCGGAUGAUGGUGGGUCCAUUGGCCCCGCGUGUAGGGUGAGUCCCCUUGGCUCCACGUGGUUGUCGAUGUGUGAAUCUCCCAUGUGUGACUUGCUAAUUGGGUCCCACGUGAGGGGGCGUAUUAAAAUGUCCCACAUCGACCGUAUCAAUGACAAAAAGAAGAGUUUAAAUACCCUAAUUCCACUCUAACUAAUACUGAGGCCCUUUGUAUUAAAACCCCACACCUGACUGAUUGAGCAGGUGGCCAAGUGGGGACAAUAUCGAUGUUGUUGGAGUGGGCCAAUGGCCCGUCUACCUGAAAUUUAAGGAAUAGAUACUGCCGGCAAGACACUGCUGAGAAUUUAUUGACAAAAAAAGUUGUGAAAGCUCUCGGCAAGACACUGCCAAGAAUGGAGACAGUGAAUUUAGCUCAGGGGGAGUAUUUAUUGACAAAAAAAAUUGUGAAAGCUCUCGGCAAGACACUGCCGAGAAUGGAGACAGUGAAUCUCGGCAAGACACUACCGAGAAUGUGAGUAUCAGUAAGCCAAGUAGCACUGAACCAGUUAAGUCUUCUGCAAUGUGUUGUCGAGUGUGAUGCAGAGUGUUAGCAGGGAGUUGCCGAACCAAUUUCACUGUUCCAGUAACCAUUAGCUACCGAACCUGCAACCCCCUCUCUCUCAAGCUCAAUAGUGUCACCCAAUAUGUCUUCUCUGAAUAUUCCUGAGAUAAGUACUACUGAUACUCAUGUAACUAAUCUAGAUAAUGUUAUGAGUACAUAUGAGUUGCCGCCAAGGAAAAAUCGUGGUGUUCCUCCUGACAGGUUUUCUCCUGAAGGAAAAGUGAAGUAUCCAAUAGCUAAUUAUGUGUCAUGCUCAAACCUUGCACCAGAACGUCAAGCCUGGGUAAGCAAUGUGGAAGCAAUCCAAGCACCAACCCGAGUUGAGGAGGCCUUAAAGGAUCCUAAAUGGGCUACUGCGAUGGAUGAGGAAAUGAUGGCAUUACAUAAGAAUGAUACAUGGGAGGUAAUAGAGCUACCUAAAGGAAAGAAACCAGUUGGGUGUAGAUGGGUCUUUACGAUCAAAUACAAGGCAGAUGGAUCGGUAGACAGGUAUAAAGCAAGGUUAGUAGCAAAAGGUUAUACUCAAACUUAUGGUGUUGAUUAUCAAGAGACAUUUUCUCCAGUAGCGAAGAUGAAUACAGUACGAGUUCUGAUUUCUUUAGCUGCAAAUUUGAAUUGGCCACUAAAACAGUUUGAUGUGAAAAAUGCUUUUCUUCAUGGGCACUUGAAAAAAGAGGUAUAUAUGGAUUUUCUUCUAGGGUACGAUGCCGGAAGGAAAACCAGAGUAUGUAGGUUGCGAAAGUCACUCUAUGGACUUAAGCAAUCACCUCGUGCGUGGUUUGGUAGAUUUACCCAAGUUAUGAGGCGGAUUGGGUAUUAUCAAAGUCACUCAGAUCAUACAUUAUUUGUGAAACGAGGAAGUGGUAAAGUGAUAGCCUUAAUUAUUUAUAUGGAUGACAUGAUAAUAACAUGUGAUGAUUCGGAAGAGAUGACGAAGCUAGAACAACACCUUGCCACCGAGUUCGGGAUGAAGAAUUUGGGAGAUUUGAAAUAUUUUAUUGGCGUGGAAGUUGCUCGGUCAUCUAGAGGUAUUUUCUUGUCUUAACGUAAAUAUGUUCUGGAUUUAUUGAAGGAAACAGGGAUGCUUGGGUGUAAACUUGUGGAUACUCCCAUUGUGGAGAAACAUUAUUUAGGAAUUUAUCCGGAUCAAGAACCAGUGGAUAAAGGCAGAUAUCAGAGACUGGUAGGAAAACUAAUUUAUUUAGCUCAUACCCGUCCAAAUAUAGCCUAUGCAGUGAGUGUGGUGAGUCAGUUUAUGCACUCGCCAAGUGUGGAUCAUAUGACAGUUGUUAUGCGGAUUUUAGCUUAUUUGAAGUCAGCUCCAGGAAAAGGAAUUUUGUAUAAAAAUUCUGGUCAUCUGAGGAUUGAAGGAUUUACUGAUGUUGAUUGGGCAUGUGAUGUACUGAUAGACGCUCUACUUCUGGAUACUUUACGUUUGUUGGGGGAAAUCUAGUUACUUGGAGGAGCAAGAAGCAAAACGUGGUGUCAAGAUCGUCAGCUGAGGCCGAAUUCAGAGGUAUGGCACAUGGAAUAUGUGAAGUCCUUUGGUUACGUAAGUUACUUGAUGGUCUAGGUUUCAAAGCAAAAGAGGCGACAAGUUUGUAUUGUGAUAAUAAAUCCGCACGGGAGAUUGCAGAGAAUCCGGUACAACAUGACAGAACAAGCAUGUGGAGGUUGAUCGUCAUUUUAUUAAGGAGAAGCUGGAGAAGAAAAUUGUUUCGAUAACGUUUGUGAACUCGGAAGAGCAACUUGCGGAUAUCCUCACACAUGCCGUGUGUAGUAGAUUUUUUGGUGACUCACUUGUCAAGUUGGGCAUGUGUGAUAUCUAUGCUCCAACUUGAGGGAGAGUGUUAACGUGACUGGUAUUAAAAAGGGUAUGUAAAUCUAUUGUAAAUAUUAAAAAUCUUUAUUAAGAAGGAUAGUUGUGUGUCCUUAUUAUUUCUUUAUAGAACAAGAAUUGUAUCUUGUAUAUAUUGUCUAUUAUGCAAUACAAUGUUUUUUAAGCCGUAAAAUUCUAAGUGUUUUGCCACGGAAAAACACUUUUCUUCUGCAAAAACUUGCUGAGUAAGCUCCAUCCAGUGUGAACGUAGGCAAUCUUGCUGCCCACUUUACCAAGUCAAGAGUGCUUUUAAAUCUUGGGCCAGUCACUGUUCAUUUUCUGCCACAAACAAAGACCAUUGAGCAAAACAAGGUUUAAAACAGUGUUGGACCUUGGUCAGGCCCGACUGUUCACUUUAGGUCCAAACAGUAGCCAGUUUGUGGAAAGGCCUUCAAUCAGGUGGCGAGAGGUGGCUGAUAAAUGGGCUGGGGCUCGCUGCUACUUACUUGGAGGCACUAGUGAGAAGAUGGUUGCUAGGUAUGCAAAUUCUCGCGCGUGCGCAAAGGGUGUCUGCCUGGUGAACUCUCCAAGUAUCACACUAUGAAAGAAUGAUCUUGUUGGAUUUGAAUUCCUGACUUGGGUGAAUGUCAAAGAUACGAUAGUGAAUCAGAUGGAAGUGGUGACAAUGGUUUUACCGAGUCAGAACUUAAUCUUGGAAUCUUGCAUGCAAUGAGAUACUGAGGUUCACAGAAAUUAAGGAUAAAGUCAUAAAGAAAUUGCUGCCGGUUCUAAAUGUGAAGUUACUAAGGAUGAAAGUAACAGUGAAGAUGUACCUGAUAUUUGCUCAGGAUCAGAUUACUCUUUAAAAAUGUUGUGAUCAUACUGGAAGCCAUGUUCAAAAUUACGAUGGUGACAGCUGCAGAUUUCGUUUUUCUGAAACUUUUAUAGAGCAUAAAAACCUACUGAAAUUACUGAGAUUCUGAAACACCACAAAUCUUUCCUGAAUGGGUUUCUUGAAAACCAUUUCAUGGUUAGGUCCUCCAAUCUUUCAGUAGAUGUUGAGUAGGUUGAAUUUUUCUGCCCUCAAUGCUCAUCAAUUAUUGGAGCUUACUGUUGUGAUAACGGUAGUGCACUUGUAGAUGGUGGAGUUCGAUUGUUUAAAUGUAAUGUUUCCACUAGCCUGCAAGUUGGCGAGCCAGCAGACUUGUUCAGGUUAGCAUAUAGAGAAAUACAACUCGUAUAUAUCUCUCUCUCCCUUACCCCUCCCAACAUGGUCAUUCACAUGACUUGUCGCUUGUGUCUUUUGUCCACCUUGAAGUUUUCGGGGGUUAUUUCCUUUUCACUUUAGAGUAUUGAAGUUUGUUUGUGUUGUAAAAUUGUGAGGAUGAAUGAAUGCCCACAGUAAGUGAGACUUGAGAAUAAUAGAUUAAUAGUGGUGGUGCGGUGUUUUCAAAAGGAGCAAUGAUUUCUCAUUUUUGUUUGUCACGAAUGUGGCUCUAUAAAUAGAGUACUCCGUGUGUGAUCAAUACACACUGCAAAAGAAAAAACUGAAAGCAAUAACAUCAGUAUCCCUCCCUUCCUUUUUUACUUGCAAUUCUUUUGUGUUAUAGUUACGAAACUAAAUAGUAUGAUAUUUUGCACCCGUUUCGCUCCUAUCCUCAGCAAAGGUUAUUUAUCUAAUUUUUGCAUAUUUAUAACACGUUAUCACCACGACUCUCUAACCUUAACCAAUUAUCAUCUCCCUUCACCGAAAAAUGCUUCCUCCUAGGAUUUUCUUGUUAUUCUUCCUCCUCUGCUUGAUGUGCCCUUGCGAAGAAUUGCAAGCACCAUGCCUGCUUCUAGUUCUCAAUAUAACAAUUACUUAUAUCUUUGAUUUCUUGUUUGGUGUAACUCCUGAUUACAAACCUAGUGUUUAUUUAUGUUAAUCUUACUGCAAUAGAAGAUGGUGUGGUAUCAUCGCCCAUCUUGAAUUGCAGAUUUAAUUUUACUGCAACUUUAGGUGGUGUUGUAUAAUCACCCACCAUGCUCUGCAUAUUUAAAUUUUCAUGCUGCUUGACUGGUGCGGAAGAAUUGCUCAUCCUAUGCUAUAUUGUUUCAAUGAGAGUGGUAUGGUACAAUCGCCAUCCUCAUUAAUUAUGUAAAUCUUGAGCUUGACGUUUCGAGUGUUUAUCAUUUUGGCUUGAAGAUCAAAAUGAAAAAUUUGUAAGAACCAGAUGUUCUAACACUACAUUCCUCCAGAAUACAUAUUAUUGCAAGUUCUUACACAUCUCAUUUUUCUUUUAGAAAAGAAAAUGGCGAACUUGACAAAACUUGAUUUUGUUGCCCUGGAACUACCUUACCUGGGUAGUGGACACCAAGAUUCAUCUAGAGGCAGAUAAUCUUGGAGAAACCAUCAAGGAGGAAAAUAGUGCAUCCUCUCAAGAUCAGACGAAGGCCAUGAUCUUUAUUCGUGGCCACCUUGAUAAAGCAUUGAAAGUGAGUACUUAACAAUUGAAGAUCCAUUAGCUAUCUAGAAGGCAUUGAGAAAUAGAUACAGUCACCAGAAAAUGGUGAUUCUUCCAAGGGCUCGUUAUGAGUGGACACACAUAAGGAUCCAAGAUUUAAAAUCGGUGGCUGAGUACAAUUCUGCAAUGUUUAGAAUUAGCUCCCAGAUGAAGUUUUGUAGGGAGACCAUCACUGAGGAAGAUAUGCUGGAAAAGACUUUCAACACCUUUUAUGCCUCUAAUGUGCUCUUGCAGCAGUAGUAUAGAGAGUGAGGUUUUACUGAGUACAACCAGCUAAUAUAUAUGCUCUUUGUGGUUGAACAAAACAAUGAGCUUCUGAUGAAGAAUCAUCAGUCCCGAUUACUGGAUUGCCAUUAUUCCCAGAAGUGAAUGCUGCUUCCCUUGAAGUGAACACCACAUCCUCUCGUGGAAAUAAUUACAAAUGAGGAAGUGGUCACAAGUGAGACUGGUAGAACAGGAAAGGCAAGAAUAAUGGUGUCCAGUUUCACAACUAGGUUCCAAGGCAUAAUUCAGGCAUGAGGUUCAAGAAUGCAAAUCGCCACAAGGGUAAAGCUCAUAUGAAUAACGCUCAUAGAAAUCCUGAUGGAGUUUGCCAUAUGUAUGGUGGCAAUGGACACUAGGUGCGUACAUGUCAUACCCCAAAACAUCUGGUGGACCUAUAUCAAGUCUCCCUCAAGGAGAAAGGUGUAGAAACCAAUUUCCUCGACCACGCUAAACUAAUGGAUAUACCUGAUCCAGUGUUCGAUUUAUCAGGGCAAUUGAACACAACCCACCUAGAUGUCUCAGACUUCAUUGUGUAAAGAGGGAAUGAAGUAUAUCGGUUCGAUAAAAUCAUUUUUGUUUGAUGUACUCUUAUUACUCUGAACUUGUAGUCUAACGCUUGCAUUUUAAUUCAAUAAAAUUAGCAUUUAAAUUUCAUUUUAUUAUGAAUAAACUGUUUUUAACUAUGAUUCCCUUACUCAGAGAGCAUGGAUAAAAACUAUGGUUAUUCUUAAAACAAGAGCAAUGACGGAGAUAUUUGUUUUGUAGACAGCGUAACCACGCAUAUAAUACUUCGAGAUCGAAAAUAUUUAUGAAGCUUGAUGAUUACAAAAGUAAAGGUAACGACAAUAUCAGGCCAAUCAGAUAUAAUUGAAGGCUCAGGCAAAACCCAAAUCAUGUUACCAAAUGGAACAAUAUUGUCCAUACAAAAUGUGUUGACGCUACUCGAUCUACUCAAAAUUUGUUGAGUUUUAAAGACAUACGUUUAAAUGGACACCACAUUGAAAUGAAAAAUGCAGAAAAUGCAGAAUAUUGCAUUACCUCUAAUGAUACCCAGAAACGUAUAUUGGAGAAGUUACAUGGUUUAUCGAAUGAAUUGUAUUAUACAUACAUAGACAAUUGAAGCAUAUACUGUCAUGAACCAAAAGUUUACAUGCUUUAACAUAACCAUCUGGGUCAUCCAGGAUCCACCAUGAUGCAUAGAAUCAUCACUAACUCUAAUGAACAUCCAUUAUUGAGCAAACACAUUACUAUCUCAAAUGAUAACCCUCGCAAGGCUUGUUCUCAAGGGAAGUUGGUAAUUAGACCAUCACAACUAAAGAUUGAUGUUGCAUCCCCAUCAUUUUUGCAAAGAAUUCAAGGGGAUAUUUGUGGGCCUAUUCAACCACCUUGUGGACCAUUUUGAUAUUUUAUGGUUUUUGUUGAUGCAUUUACUUGAUGGUCACAUGUUUGCCUCUUUUCUACUCGAAAUGUAGCUUAUGCGAGACUUCUUGCUCAGAUAAUUAAGUUGCAAGCAUAGUUCCCAUAUUACCCCAUUAAGUCAAUCCGACUUGAUAACGUUGGUGAAUUUCCGUCUCAAACCUUUGAUGAUUACUGCAUGACACUAGGCAUUGAUGUUGAACACCCUGUUUCUCAUGUCCAUACUCAAAAUGGUCUAGCAGAAGCGUUUAUCAAGCUGCUCCAAUUAAUAGCUCGCACUCUACUCAUGAAAACAAAAUUGUCAGUCUUUGCAUAGCGACAUGCCAUCUUACAUGCUGCAUCAUUGGUUCGAUUGAGAUCUAUAGCCAACCACCAAUACUCCUCAGUACAACUCGUGUUUGGGCAUCAGCCAAACAUUUCACAUUUACGAGUUUUUGGUUGUGCUGUUUAGGUGCCUAUUGCACCGCCACAACGCACUAAAAUGGGACCUCAAUGCAAACUGGGAAUUUAUAUGGGUUUUGAUUAACUAUCUAUAGAUAUUUAGAACCCUUGACAAGUGAUAUGUUUACAGCUUGUUUUGCGAAUUGUCACUUUGAUGGGACAGUCUUCCCAUCAUUAGGAGGAGAAAAAACCGUUCCAGAAGAACGGCAAGAGCUAACAUGGGUUGUAUCCACCUUAUCUCAUUUUGAUCCAUGAAGCAUUCAAUGUGAAAAUGAAGUGAAAAUGAUUGUUCAUCUUAAAAGUAUUGCUAAUCAAAUGCCAGAUGCAUUUAAUGAUGCCACAAAAGUGACAAAUUCACAUAUACCAGCUGGAAAUGAGUUUGCAAGAAUUGAUGUCCCUGUUGGACAAAAUAAAGUGGCAGCGAAUGAUUCAUCUGGUGCACGCCUAAAGCAUGGUAAACCCCCAGGUUCAAAAGAUUCAGCCCCUUGAAAGAGAAAGACGGGGCACAACUGAAUCCAAAUGAAAUCAUUCAGGAAGAGAAAAUGAAUGACAAAUCCACAAUUCAUGAUUCUGUACUUUCAGAAAAGAAAAUGUCAUUGAUGAGACACAUACCCCUGAAGAGACAGAAGUACAUGAAAGCAAAGAAAUCGCCAUAAAUUAUGCAUGCACUAAGAAUUGUGGGAUCGAAAUGAAAUAAGCAUUGAUGACAUGUUCGCAUUCAUAGUAGCCAUUGAAAUCAUAUUAAGCAAUGAUAUUGAGCCCUGCUCUGUCGAAUGCAAACAGAAACAAGAUUGGCCUAAGUGGAAAGAUGCAAUCCAAGCAGAAUUUAAUUCCUUGGAACGGCGAAGUAUUUUUGGACCAGUAGUCUAAACUCCUCCUAGUGUAAACCCCGUGGGUUUUUCCUAUUAAAGUAAUUUUAACAAGGUAACAUAAGCAUGCUUAACAUUAUAUCAACAAUCCAAGUAAAGUUGUACUCUUUUUCCUUCGCUAUGGUUUUUUUCCCACUUGGUUUUUCCGAGCAAGGUUUUAAUGAGGCAACUGAUGUUGAUAUAUGGGCAUCCAAAGGGGAGUGUUGUAAAAUUGUGAGGAUGAAUGAAUGCCCAUAAUAAGUGAGACUUGAGAAUAUUAGAUUAAUAGUGGUGGUGUGGUGUUUUCAAAAAGAGCAAUAUUUCCCACUUUUGUUUGUUACGAAUGUGGCUAUAUAAAUAGAGUACUCUGUGUGUGAUUAGUACACACUAUGAAACAAAAUAACUAAAAGCAAUAAUAUCAGUAUCCCUCACUUCCUCUUUUUACCUGCAAUUCUUUUGUGUUAUAGUUACAAAACUAAAUAAUGUGAUAGUUUGCAUCCGCUUCUCUCAUGUUCCUGACAAAGGUUAUCUCUCUAACUUUUGCCUAUUUAUAACAGUUUGAGUUUUUUUUUUUGGGUAAAUCUCAGUUUACUACCCUAUAGUUUCAUGGUUUUCAACAUUUAUUACAUAAAGUUUUUUUCAUCUCAGAAUCAUACCUAAAGUAUUAAUUUUGGGACUGUCUCAUACAUCCGUUGAUCUGGCUGUUAAGUCUCCCGCUAACAGAUGACGUGGCAUCCAUGUGAAAAAUGAUUGAGCACUACGUGUCAUUAAAAAAAAUUUAAAAUACUAAAAUAAUUAAUUAAAAAAAAAAACCCAGAACCCACUUCUUCUUCCCCACCCGACACCCGACUCGCAAAGAACUUCAAAUCUGAGACAGAAAAGCUUCAAUCACUGGAUUCAAUAAAAAAAUAUUGGGAUCAUUACAAAACAAAAAAUUCAACUCUAGUCAAAGGAAAACCCUAAAUCACUUACCAAACUGAGCUUGGAAGAGCAAAGAGCAGAGAUUCCACUGAGAUAGAAAGUCGAUGACGAUUGCAACAGAGCACAUUUAAUGAUCGAAUCGAAGAAAGGGAGAAUUUGAAAAACGAUUUGCUCACACGCAAUGCGGAGUAGAGAGAGGGAGAGAGACUGAAACAGUCCGGAGCUCUAAAUAAAAAUAAUAAAAAAUAAUAAAAAAAACCCAGAACCCACUUCUUCUUCCCAACCCGACACCCUCCAUCCCCUCCACCCCUUCUCCCCUCCAUCCCCUCCACCCCCUUCGUCUUCUCCACCCGAGCAACCCGUUCUCCCAUCCCCUAGCACCCACAUCUUGCCCACCCGAGCCACCCCUUCUCUCAUCCCCCAUUUCCAACCUCACUGCCGCCAAGUCCGUCAUCGUCAUCUUUCUCCAAAGCGUACACAGUCUUUGAGGCUGAGGCGGCUCUGCUCUUCCGCUUGCAGCUGCUUGAUUCUCAUAUCCUCUUCUUGUUGCCUCGCCGAUGAAGCUUGACCGAUCGCCAACUUUGGUGUGCUGCUGCUUGAUUCUUAGAUUCUCAGAUCCUCUUUCUGUUCGAUGUGCAACCGAAUCUCUGGAAUCUUCUUCUCUAGCAUCCGUCUGGUGCUCGGGUGGAUAAGACGAAGGGGGUGGAGGGGAUGGAGGGUGGAGGGUAGGGAAUAAGAAGUGGGUUCUGGUUUUUUGUUUUUUUACUUUUUUUUUAAUUAAUUGUUUUAAUAUUUAAAUUUUUUUAAUAACAUGUGCUGCCCAGUCAUUGUCUACAUGAGCGCCACGUCAUCAGUAACGGGAAACUUUACGGCCAGACUAAGUAAAUUCUCGAUUUUGUGUGUUUUAGUCUGCUAUGCGAUGGAGGUUUAUCUAGUUCUGAUUAAUUUUUAUGUAUACUCUCUUUCCAGUGUCUGUUUUCCUUGUCCUCUAAUUUUAUAAGAUAAUGGUAUGUACGAUGCUAGAAGAUCGUUGAUGAAGUAUUUAUACUGACACAUCAAACACAAGAACUAAUUGAGACUGUCCGCAAGAAAGGAUAUAACAUCAAACACAAGAACUAAUUGAGACUGUCCGCAAGAAAGGAUAUACUUUCACCUUCUUGCUCUUCCUUACAGAGUUUAUUUUUGUCAUCCAUGCCGAGGUAGCAGUGUACCCUAGAUCUUCCGAAAAUUCCAGAUAUCCAAAAUACAGGAAAAGAACCCUUCUUCUCCACCUAGAGUGGCAGAUUCUGUAUCGUGGCGAUCUGGCAACUUGAUAUGUAGAGUGGAUGCAAACAUACUAACCUUUUUUAAGAUUGUUCUGUUUUGGACUUGUUCAGGGAAGUAGAAAGUUAAUCUUGAAAGCAACAGAGUUUAGUUUUUGAACUUAUUCGCGGCGACAGCCUACAAGCACUCCACUCGUAGGCUAAUACCCGUUUUUUCUUGAUUAUAGCUAUUGUUUUAGCAGCAUAAGGCAUCAAAACAGAGCUAAAGAAAAUAUUUUUCGACUAAUAUUUCAAUGAAGGUACUCAUUUAUUUUAAAGUAGUAGUGAUACCAAGCCCCAACAUCUAGAAAGAGAUAAUCUCAAUCUAAACAGAUGAUUAGUUUAAUACAAAUUGGGAUUUCUAGCGGACAAACGUUUGCUGCUUCUUUUUGUGGCGAUUCUUCUGUUAUUCCUCACAGAUUUCUUCUGUUGGUUCCCAGUUUUCUGCCUUUUUGCUGCAGUCUUCUUCUCAGCCUCCGCCUCACAUUCAUCGCCUUCCAAUUUCUUCCUCUUUAAAAGCUUAACAAGCCCUUCGAGUGCAGUAUCAACAUCUUCACUCUUCAUCAGCUCUUCCGCAACGUGCGCUGGAGUCACCUCCGUUUCCUUGAGUAAGUCUUGGAUUUCUCCGUAGAGGUGAUGGUGGUUAUGGAUGUCCAAGUAGUUCGAGGCCAAGAGUUUGAAUCCGUGGUAUGUGCAGUAGGACAUGUGAAUGUGCAUGUCCAUGCGCCCCGGCCGCAGAAGGGCGGGGUCUAGCCUGUCCUUGUGGUUAGUGGUAAAGAUUAUGAUCCUCUCAUCCCCACAGCUAGACCAUAAGCCAUCUAUGAAGUUUAGUAGUCCAGAGAGUGUCAACUGCAGGAAGCCAAAGACGAUAGAGUUAAAAUUCUUUUGUACUGAGAGUGCAUUUUCCGGGGUUAAAGCUGGAGAAAAAAGGGGCCUUUUUAUAGUUUUUAUUUUUUAUUUUUUAUUUAUAUUUAUUUUUAAUGGGACAACCAAUAGUUUAAGUGGGUAAAAUUGUUAGUUGCUAGGAGAAGGGGGAUUGGUGAGAAUCGAACCCGCACUAGAAUGCGUAGACAUGAUUGCUUUCCACCAUUUCGGUACAGCCCGUACUAGAAUCUAACCAUCUGAUGCCCUAAUACAUCCACUGGUGCAGUGUAAAAUUUUCGGAGUAAAAACAAGCGAUUUUCUUUCUAAUCCAAUUUGAAAACAACAAUCUUGAAGGGAAAUAGAAAGAAAGCAACUUCCUACCAAACUCUUGAGGGUGCUAGUGCUUCCCCCUUCGAAUAAAAAACGAAACAGCAGUGAAGAAAGACAGUGAGGUGGGGUUGGUUGAUUGUGAAAGUAUCUAUCUUUUAGGUUUUGUGAAAUGCUUAGUGCUGAGCUAGUUGUAAGAUGCUAAUACAACCAAUCGGAUGCUAAUAUAACCAAGAUUCACCAAAUCACAAAGAUCAGUUCAAAGCAUUAAACUCAACAAAUUUAUAUAAGGAAAAGAUGACACACCUGUACAUCGUGUUGCUUUUUUCCAUCUGUAUGUCGACGAUCAGGCAGAUCAACGGUACAAUCAAUGUCCUCGAUCACAAGAAUCGACCUGUUCGCGGUGCCCAGCAGCAGUUUUCUCAGGUCCGAGUCACGAAGAACGUUAGCCAGCUGCAGGUCAUAGACAUCAAACUUGAGAUAAUUAGCCAUUGCUGCUACCAAGCUCGAUUUUCCAGUGCCCGGAGGACCAUACAACAAAUACCCUCGUUUCCACGCCCUUCCUACUUUCUUGUAGAACUCCUUCCUCUUCACAAACCUGUUAAGAUCAUCGAUAACCGCAUUUUUGAGCUCUUGGUCCAUGGCCAGAGUCUCGAACGUUGCAGGGUGUUCGAGAUUGAUGGACUCCCAUUUGAUGCCAUUGUAAGGAUAGUUGGCAUUCAAUGUAUACAUCUUCAAUACCCUUUCUUCAUCUUUCAUUGCGUCGGCCCUUUCAAGAACAUAAGGCAAAUAACAUCCCAAUACUUUUUCUUUGUGCAUCAUGUGGAAUGUUAGCUCAAAGUAGCGCUUUUCGGACCUCGGAGAUGGAUCAUUAGGGUUGUUCUGUUUGGAAUCCGUACAAAGAAACUUCCAUUUGAGCUCAAUCCCUUCAUAGAAAUCGACCAACUUCUCGCCUUUCUCGAGUCUGAUUGUCAAGUUCUUCCCCUUGGGGCUCUUGCUAACUCUGAUCCUCUCAGUGUUGGAGCUGAUUUUCGUGCACAAAUAAACCUCCGCAGCUUCGUAGACUUGAUUGCGCGACAUUCCGCUCGAUUCCUCUAUGACUAGGGUGAGUUUAGGAGAAUGAGUCUUGAAGACGUAUUUGAUGGCAGAUAAAACGUAGCCCCUAACUGGUUGAGGAAUGAGCUCGUUCGCCAUGGACCGGAAGAGCAUGAUUGACGCUGCCAUGGAGGCGUAGGCAGAGAACAACGACGACGGAGAAGGCAUUUCUCUGGUGGAGAACAAGUUCAUGGUUACAAGCUUGUGUUUUCUCUCAAGUUUUUGUGAAGUGUAGAGGAGAGGUGUGUGAAUAAUGAUUAUAUAAUAUAACAAAGGUUUCUUCUUUGUUUGGAAUUUUAGGUAGUCAAUAAAAAUGUACGUUUGUGGAAUUGUGCGUGUGCGUGAGUGGAUUCCAAAACAGAGAUAGACCCCAACAUCCCAUCAUCCCAUGUUUCUUCUUUCUUUCUUUCUUUCUUUCCUUCCUUCUUUCCAUCCCAUUCCACUUUAAUAUCUUCCUUUUUCUGUCUUGUUUCGGUUUCUUCUCUAGUUCAAUUAUUGCAUUCAAACACUAGAAAAGGUAAAGCAAAGGUGAGUUUCCGAAAAGCUUCGAGCGCAAGUAAUUGAUGUAAAGUUCUUCCAUACAACGAGCGUAUAUACACAAAGUUCCUCUCAUCAAAAUUAAUUGUACUAUAGGUACGUCAAAAAACCAUUUCACUACACUCUUUUCACAAGAAAAGUAAGUAAGAAUGAAAGAAAUUGGCGUGCCAAAGAUUUGCUUCUACUUUUAUCUUUUGGGUGUUAUGAAUUAUUACGGCAAAAGUUUUUUUUAUGCUCCUGAGUAUCUUAUGUUAAACAAAUUAAGGGUUGUGAUAUUCACACCCUUAACUACUUUUUCCCAUAUUUCUUUUAUUUUUUUAGUACUUAAUUGGUAUCAUACUAUUUAAUCUUCCAUAUAUACCCUUCCUACUUUUUGACUUUUGAAUUUUUAUUUUUUUAUGUUUUUUAUUUUUACACUUACAACAAAUCAACACUCAAGAUAAACUCCCAGACUUCUCCCCUUCCUCUGUGCCUCUGUUCCCCUGUCCUCUUUGCUUCCAUUCAUACCUUCCAUGAAAAGCCAAUCCAUUAACCUUCUUUAUUACUUGUGAAAACCACAAUGGAUGACCUAAUAAUAACAGAUGAAGAGCUCCAGAUGGACAUUGAGUUGUAGAACAUAUUGGAUAUGGCAUGCAAGGAGGAUGGCAUGGAUGAAAUUUCAGAAUGCAUUCCUCUUCUUAACACUUUUGAUGGUAAGUUUCUAAAGUAUUUUCUCAAAUUGUUAAGAUUGAUUUUGGAAUUUAGGGUUUUUGUUCUCUUCUUGCGUUAGGUUUUGAUUUCAAGAUGACAAGAAUGAUGUCCACACAUGUCAUUCGAAAGUUCAUGGUUAUGCAAUAAACUUUUUAUCUCUAGCUUCCAAAAUUCUUCAUGUUUCUUUUUACGCCCCCUGGCUUCAAAUGGACAUUUUAUCGACCCUCUAAAACUUCACUAGAUGAAGGAAAACGAAACUCAGGAUAUUGACUCAUAAAUUGUCCAUUUGAAGUCAAGGGGCGUAAAAAGAAACGUGAAGAAUUUUGGAAGCCAGAGAUAAAAAGUCUAUUGCAUAACCAUGAACUUUUGAAUGACCAUGAACUUUAGAAACUAACGCAAGAAGUUUUAGAAUGCAAGAAGAGAACAAAAACCCUAACGCAAUUAGGUUUUUGUUCUCUUCUUGUCGUCUUGAGAUAAAAACCUAACGCAAGAAGAGAACAAAAACCCUAAAUUCCAAAAUCAAUCUUAAUAAUUUGAGAAAAUACUUUAGAAACUUACCAUCAAAAGUGUUAAGAGGAGGAAUGCAUACUAAAAUUUCUUCCAUGCCAUUCUCCUUACAUGCCAUAUCCAAUAUGUUCUGCAACUCAAUGUCCAUCUGUUGGAUAUAUGUCAACAAUCUGUGAUAAAUUUAUAUAUGCUAAUAAAUAAACAGUGUAUGAACAAUGAACUAAUAUUAAACAGAAAUAUUGAAGAUCGAGGCUUGCGUACCGCAAUAUCCUUGAAACAGAAAUUUCGCCCCUACUCAGUGCUUGUAGUUCUCCGGAUGUCUGUUUCAUCAGGAUUCAACGAUCAAGUUAGAAUUUCAGCACCGGAAAACUUAACUUCUGGCGAAUUUCUUUGUGGUACUCUCAAUAAGAAUGCUAUGGAUUAUAGAGGAGAUUUAUGUUUUCUGUGUCCUAAAUGCCAUGUAGAUGGAUCUAUAUAUAGUGAGAUUAUACCUGUUCGCAACAGGUAUGAGAAUGAGAUGUGACUGUUGGGAGACAUCUCUUCAGAUGAGGUGCUGUGCUCUCUGCGUUUUACAUUGACUUCAGACUUCAUCUGAAAAGAUGAGUCUGUUCAAAAAAAUAAUUAAAUUAAAAUCGAAAUUAAUUUUCAAAGCCCAAUGCCCAUCUUUAUUAAUUAUCAAUUAAUUAGUGCACCCCAAAGCCCAACCUCAAGGGUGAGCCCAAUUGUAUUCUCCAAUGCCUAUUACUCUAAUUACUUUCUAUAAAGGAUAAAGCCUUAUAAAGUGAUGAAAUCUUUUGAGAAUGAUCAAUGUGGGACAAAGAAAUUUCUACUCAAACUAUUCAAAUUUCCAACACCAUCUGGAGCUCUCAUCUAUUAUUAUCAGGUCAUCCAUUGUGGUUUUUCACAAGAAGUAAUAAAGAAGGGUAAUAGAUUGGCUUUUCCUAGAAGAUAUGAAUGGAAGUAAAGAGGACGGGGGAACGGAGGCACAGAGGAAGGGGAGAAGUCUGGGAGUUUACCUUGAGUGUUGAUUCUUUCUAAGUGUAAAAAUAAAAAAUAAAAAACAACUUUCAAAAGUCAAAAAGUAGGAAGAGGUGUAUAUGGAAGAUUAAAUAGUAGGAUACCAAUUAAGUAUUAAAAAAUAAAAAGGGUGUGGGAAAAGUAGUUAAUGGUGUGUAAAUAUCACAACCUCAAAUUAAUGUUUAAAAACAACCGAUUCUUGAUAUAAGAUAUUCUGGAGCACCGUAGAAAAUUUCAUCAUUGUGGUAGGGAAAAAAAUUAGAGUUUGCAAUCUUUGAGGGUUACGUGCUUGAAUUUUGAGGUACAGGCUAAGAGCCAAAUUCAUUUGGUUGAGAGAAUAUAUGAGGAUUCAUUUGGUUGAGAGAAUAUAUGUGGAUGUCAUGCAUAUCUUCCUAAAGCCACCCAUCCGCUCUUCUGGGGAUUUUCUAUAAAGAAUCAAACUAUAUAUCACUAAAAUUAUUACCAUUAAAAUGGGCCUGCAGAGAUUGUCCUAUGAAACCCACGCUUUCUGUUCGGAAACCAAUUUAGGCAUUACUUGUCAAACCAAGUUACAUAAUACCGACCCAAAUCAUUUCGAGCAAGAGAGGGUUCGAAAUGAUUUUCUCAAAGAUAUUAAACUUGAUUUAAUGGUCCUCGAUUAUUCAGUUUAAACCAAUAGAUUAAAUUUAAUGCUCAAAUAUUUAUUAGUACUAUGUAUCAUUGAAUACUUAAAAAAAAUCGAAAAUCCUACAACACAGUGAACAACAAAAGGUUAAUGUUCUCUUUCUAAAUGCAUCAUUUGAACAAAUUGGGUUUUGCUUGAACUUUUUCUUACUUUAACUUUAUUAGCUUGGAGUGGUCUCCUUUUCUUUUCUUUUUUUUAUAGUGUCGUAAUCCACAAAACCACUUAUCAAGACUAUAACAUGCAUAUUAUAUUUGCUUAAAACUUGACUUAUGGGGUACAUCUUGCUACUUUCGGCGUGGAAGAGAGAAGUUCCUGAUAAAGUUUGCCAAGUAGUGAGUAAUCUAAGCACAUUUUUAAGGAAGUUUAACGAAAAAUUUCAGGUACUAUUUAUUUUCACAAAAAAAUUCAUAUUUUUAUAGUAAAAAAUCAAUUUUGGUACUAUUUAUUUUACCAUUUAUUUUAUCUUUAUUAUUAAAACUAAGGAUUUUCAAGCUCUUUUCAUUAGUUUUCCUCAUUCUUUAUUCAACUAAUUCUUGUUCUUCAUCAUUCCAUUCCCAACAAGAUCAUCUCCCAAUACUUUUGGUGAGGAUCCUAGGGAUCCGUGAAUCGUGUUCGUUCAUCGUACAUCGUGCGGUCAGUUUUUAUCAAGUAUUGGUUAUGUUUAUUUUUAAAUAAAAAUAUUUAAAAUGAUUUUUGACCGCACGAUAUACGAUAAACGGACACGAUUCGCGGAUUCCCAGAAUUCUAACAAAGAGGAUCUAGCGAGGAUUCAGACUCAUUCCAUUAUGUUGACCCUAAAAACUACUAAGCCUAUGUGGCGUGCAGGCCAAGUAAUCAAUAAGCUAACUACGUUCUUCGGUUAUGUGCGGGGCGUGCUAACUCAUCAGUCUAGCUUGGCAGGGGAGUAGAAUGUGUUGAUGUUGCGUUGAGCGCGUUGCUGACUUCUUGAUCUUGCAACUGCGGCCGAGGAAGCAACACGUCUCGGCCUUCGGGUUCUAGAGCCUGAAGACAAGGUUGCUAGUUCUGCAAAAGUCAAUAUCAAAUUCGGCUUUCAAUGUGCCGAACGUAGUAACCUGUAACACCUCACUUUGCUGCUUCGCCGAAAAUGCUGAUGAGAUGAGCUCUACCAAUAAGGACUCGAAAAUCCUUGUCGAUCGAGACUUAGAUAGAUAACCAGUUAGCCUCGAUGCAGUGCUGUUUAUCCAAACUGAAGGUGCUCCGCGAUCGGCUGAUUCUACGACAACAAUGUUGUUUAUCCAAACUAAAGAUGUCACCAGUUGCAUUCACAGUGCUGUUUAUCCAAACUGAAGAUGUGUUGGCAGACAAAGAAAAUAAAAAAUAUCAAGGUUGUUGAGAGGUUUCGCGUAGAGCGAGAGUUUACGCAUGGCAGUUUGUGUGUUGAGUUGGAGAGAGCUUUUCAUGUUGCACGACCUCUUGCAUUUAUAGUGAUUGUGUGCUUAGUAGCUAAACCGUGUAGUUCUAGUCGAAAGCAGAACACUUUUCCUGAGAUAAUUAUCACAAAAUCCCUUGCCAUCAUCUUGAUAUCUGGGAAAGAUUGGCAAUUGUACUUUCCUUCUAUUCAAACUAGAUACACUAGUCACUUAAUAAGGCUUGUAUUUGGAGUUAUUGUUAACUUCAAAUUUCCAUGCACCACAUGCCAUAUCCUAUCACCCACUUCCAGAUCAUCAUCAUGACAAUUCCAACUUAAACAGGAAUAUGCCAUUGCUAGCAAACUGAAGUGACACACCCCGACCGGAGUCGAAACAUGUUGGCCAUCACGUGAGCGUGACGUAGCCUUGUGCGCAAAGCGGAAGUGAUAAAUAGUAAGGAAAUAUGACAAUUUAAAACCAAGCAACUAGCAAUCCUAGUUAAGAAAGGAUGCUAGUAAGAGUCUAAGUGUAUAAAUACACUUUCAAUGCAAUGAGAAAGUUUAGUUGCAGUCAAGUAGGACAAUUACUAAGAUUCAACACUCGAAGGUGAAUCCUACUACUUCGGAUUCUGUCAGAACAUCGUGGGAUUCCUCGUGGCCCCCAAACUUUGCUAUCUAAGACCUAGAGGGGCGAAAAAACAAAGUUGAGUGGGUCAGUAAAAACAUUCUUACACGAAAACUUUAUUUUUCUUUGAAUAUACUAACCCCUCGCCGUAAGACAAGUAUAUAGAAAUUUCCUAGAAAAUAGAAUACAUAAAUAUGUAUAUAUCUCAAAUCAUGCUCAAAAUCAAGAUUCAUAUUUGUAUGUAUGCCAUGCCUAUAUAUAACAAAAUAAGCAAUUCAGGUAAGAAUAGUUUCAUAGAAAUAUAACAUGUUAGCCGGAACCUCUGUGGUAGUCUGUACGGCUGAAUUCAUAGCUCAAAAGUCAAUCUAACCGGAGUCACUACAAUGACCUAUAUGGCAAUAUACUACACAAGAGUCGGAACCAAAUGCAAAUGUCUGUACGACGAUAAUGAGUGUAAUAUAAUUAUGCUCAAUACUACUUUCACAUAAUAGUCGGGCGAUAAAUCGCUAGUCACCUACGAGUCGGAACCAUAAAUAAGGUCUGUACGACAAGACUGUGCACCUAAAUUGGAUCCAAUGUGAGCAUAUGGUGCGGGAGGUGACAUAAUAAACAGGCAUGUGUCAUAUCUCUGGCUAAAUCACAAUCACCCUAAGUGCAGUUUUAUGAGCUCAACAAUAUUCAAUCACACAUCACAUCAUCGACAAUUCACAUAACCAAACAUAACUUACCUAAGCUUACUUAAGCCUCCAUAGCACCAUGCAACAAUAUGCAUAAUUAUGAUAAUGCAUAUACUAAAAUAAAAUAUAGGCAUAGCAUGGCAUUUCAAUCACAUUUCCUUAAAUACGUUUUCUGGGAAAAACGUCAAGUAUAUAUAUAUACACUGAAAAUAAAUGCCCACUCACAGAUAUGCAGCUGGGUCGUAACCCCCAUGCUUAGCUUGGCUACGCUCGUCCUCCGGAUAGGUCUCGCCUAUAGGGGAAACAACUAUAUAAACGUCACUUUAAUGCACAUAUACAAAACUAUGUAAUAACUCUUCAUAUAUAGCUCAAAUUGGGAAUAUGAAUAUAUCACAAUUACCUACACAAUCUCAGGAUUGUCCCCAAAUUUUUAGAAUAAAUUUUCGAGGCCUCACGCGCCGGCGAGUGCACUGCCAGACGUGCCCCCAUACGUGGCCAACCCUCACGGAAUCCUAACUGUCGUUAGGAAUAUUCCGUUAAAAGCUAACGAAAUCCUUCUAAACUAACUAACGGUGUGAGAAUAUUCCGUCAGACUUGACAGAAUAUUCCUUCAUCUCCUACCUCCAGCUUCGGCAACCGUCGCUGGAGCCGGAAACUGGGCAAUUUUUCAAACUCUUUAAUCUCGCUCAUUUCUUCAACAUUUUUCAUGCAAUUUCCACCAAAUGAAGUUUAGGAGGUAAAGAAUUGCGUUAUACCUUUUUCACGCCUUGAAUCACGUGAAAUCAAGUUGGAGAAGUCCUCGAACUCCGACGACCUCUGCAAAACUUCGUUUUCGAGCUUCCCGUGACCCAAAUCCUAUCAACGAUGCACUCCGAGCAUUGUGAGGACCUCCUUGAGCUCAAUGUGGUCUUAAAAUUCACAAAAACUCAAGGGUUUAAAAGUUGAUGAAUAGUACCCAAGUCGAAGGUCUAUUUUCCGGGGUUUUCUGAUGUCCAAAAUUGUUCCAAUUUAUGCCAAAACAAACCAGAUGACUAGGAGAUUACCUUUUGAGUCUUAGAACAGCUUGAAACCUCCACGAACUAGUUUGGUGUACUGUACACCCACGACUCCCUUUCAAACUAGGGUUUCUCGAAGGUUUCCUUGCUAAAAAUGGGUAUCACUCGACUCGUAAGGAUCCUAGGAACACACUGGAGACCUCAGAACCUUCGAUCUGUGUUGUUUUGGGUUUUUUUGUGUGUGUCCGUAAGAGUUCGAAGAGAGAGAGAGAGAAUGAGUCUGAGAGAGAAAGCACGGGAAGGAGAGAGAUAGAGGGUAAAUGGGUGUGUGGUCCAAAAGCCACCAAUCAAAACUAAGAGAACACUUAGUUCUAAUUGGGUCCAAUAAUAAAGGAAUAGAACUAAUAGGUCCACAACCUUAAGUCAAAACCACAACACUCCAUAAUAAUUCUCAACGUCCAAGGGUAUUUAGGUAAUUUCACGCCGUCGAUAAUUAAAUAAUAUACUUCUCUGGGACGAGCUGUAACAGAAGUGUGCGGCAUCUCCUUUUUUUUUGCUUAGAUACAUCCAUGCAUGCAACGCAACUUGCAAUUUAAUUGCAUCAAUGUUUACUUGUUUUAUCCCAUCUUUCUUUCCAAUUAAAUGCAAACCAUGCAUUAUCAAAAAAUUCAACCUAAUCACAUCUCCCAUUUCUGCAUGUUGUCUUAUCCUUAGAUUCUGAUAAGUAGCACUUUUCCGUGUUGAUCAGGACGUGAACCAACCAAGUUGCACAAUGUGUAACCACACAGAGUCCUUGUACAAUUGUUACUACUUUCAUUUAUUUGACUCUCACGUUAAGAUAUAAAUUCCUAAUAAAAUGGUAAUAUCAAUUAUGACCUCCUUCAUCCAACGACUUUAAGUAUUUGGGCCGAGUGCGUACAAAAUCAUGGCCUCUUAAUAUUCAAAGUCAUCCGACGGUCUAGAAUUUUGCUCAUUCAACGGCCUCAAUUACUCGAGCCGAUAGUGUAAAAUUGAGUCCAAACACAUUCACACUUCAACCAUGACACGUAUCAAGCUCACAUAUUCUACCCAUGAUUCAUAUACAUUACUAUAUACAGGCAAUAAAUUAUCACACGCUCUUUUAGCCUCACACGAAUAGAAAAAAUAGACAUGAUUAAACAUGGGUGUGUAUAAAAAAAAAAGUAUGUUUGUGUUUAUCAUUUCUUUAAUGGAAAACUAAUGAAAAUGGCUUGAAAACUUUGAGUUUUAAUGAUAAGGACAAAAUAAAGGGUAAAGUGAAGAGUACCAUGAUUGACUUUUUAGUGUAAAAAUGUGGUUUUUCGUUAAAGUGAACAGUACCGGGUGCUUUUCGUUAAAGUUCCCUUUCUUUAAUGGGUUAGGAUCCUGAGAUAUACAUUUUGGACACACAUUUUGACACACAAUUUUUAUGGGGUUCACUUCGUAAUGCAUUUCAAUGAUCUAACGGUCUAUCUCUCAAAGAUCAUAUUUGUCUACCAAAAAUACCCGAAUCUGAAGCUAUAUGACUGUUGGACAAAAUUUAGUGUUUCUUUAGAACCGUAUUUUUCCAUUUUCUUUUACUACUAAUGAAUGUCUCAAUAGAGCUAGAUUUGUCUAAUUUUUUACAAGAAUGACCUGUGAAUGAAUUGAAAUAUAGACGGGUUUGGAUCCUGGAAAAAAAUUACGAAAUGAGAGCCAUAAAAGCAUGUGUCAAAAUAUAUGUCAAAAACAUGUAUCUCGUAUCAUAACCCUUCUUUAAUAUCUAAACUACAUGUUAAUAAAACUUUUUUUGUCAACCAAAACUUCAUAAAAUUACCAUUCUAAACUACAUGUUAAUAGAACUCUCUUUGUCAACCAAAACUUUAUUUUAAACUAUAUGUUAAUAGAACUCUCUUUGUCAACCAAAACUUCAUAAAAUUACCAUUCUAAACCUCUCAUCAAAAUUGAACAAAAACAAAAAGCAUGGGCAAUUUUGUGAUUACAUACAACACAAAUUUUGCUUUUUUUAUUUAUACAAACCUCACAUCACAGCCAUUUAAACAUACUACAUCUAUUUAAAAAUUAAAUAAAAAAAAUUGCGAAGGUUUUCUUUAACGCCAGGUCUCCCACAUCAACCCCUCCCCUUCUUCCACGCACAUUUUUUUUAAUUUAAAAAAAAAAGUUUUCGUUAUUUAAAAAAAUAAUGUCACUGAGUACUACAGUCUUGUGGUAUUCUUCUUUGCUUAAGAAUGAAAGGUUUUAGGUUCGAAUCUCAUGGAUUACGAAUUCGAUACUAAAUUAAGCUGCUCAUUGUGUGGCUUAAUCGAAUUCUCCAUCCCCUAAUAUAAAAAUAUUGAUAUACUAAAAAACAUGAUAUAAUAUUUUUAUAACAGAUAAUUGACUAGUAUGUGUGUGUGUGUGUAUAUAUAUAUAUAUAUAUAUAUAAACCGCGUCCGAAUAAUCAGAAGAGACUAAGCAAGUAGAAAACCGUGUCUAAAUUGCUUCGAAACUAAGCAAAAAAAUUGAUUAAAACGCCUCAUUACUUCAUGUUUCUGCACAUCUUGAAAAAUACACAACGUUUUCUUCUCUCAAUCUCAAAGAAAUGCCAACAAACGCGUCCUCCUUGUUCUCAGCCUAUGCCUCCUUCGCUGCAUUCAUGAUGUUGGUCCGCACCGCGGCCAACGAACUCAUGAACCUUGUACCCGACAGGGUCCGGGCGUACAUAGAAUCUGUCCUUCUUCGUCUAUUCAGCCCUCUCUCGGCUUCCCAUGACCUAACUCUCGUUAUUGACGAGAACGCUGGCAUGACAAGAAACGAAGUCUAUGAGGCCGCGGAUGUCUACCUCCAAACCAAGAUCAGUCCCUCAAACGAACGUCUUCGGGUCAGCAAAACACCUCGACAGAAAAUCAUCAGCCUUGCCAUUGAAAAAGGCCAAGAAGUCAUCGAUACCUUCGAUAACAUUGUUCUAAAAUGGCGUUACGUCUGCAUUGAAUCCAACAAUAACUUUGGUGGUGAUCAAAAGCGUCAGUUCGAGCUAAUAUUCCACAAGAGGCACAAGGACAAAGUCGUCAUAUCCUACUUGCCUUACGUGCUUGAUCGAGCCAAUGCAAUUAAAGAACAAGACAAAGUUGUGAAAAUUUAUACACGAAAUUCAUAUUCGCACUACAAUGAUGAUGACAAGGGGGACUGGGGUUCGAUAAGUCUGGAGCACCCGGCUACGUUUGAAACAAUGGCGAUGGACCCCAAGCUUAAGACAAUGAUUAAAAAUGAUUUGGACAGGUUUGUAAGGCGGAGGGAGUUCUAUAAGAAGGUGGGGAAGGCUUGGAAAAGAGGCUACUUGUUGUACGGUCCUCCCGGCACCGGAAAAUCUAGUUUGAUCGCGGCCAUGGCAAAUUAUCUCCAUUUUAACAUAUAUGAUUUGGAGCUUUCUAGCAUUUACAGCGACUCGGAAUUGAAGAGGAUAUUGUUGUCUACUACAAACCGUUCGAUUUUGACAAUUGAGGACAUUGAUUCCAGCAUUGAUGUCGAAAAUCGUGAAUCAGAAGAGCAGCAGCAAGCUUCUAAAACCAAAUUGACGCUUUCGGGCCUAUUGAACUUUAUUGAUGGUUUGUGGUCGAGCUGCGGUGACGAGAGAAUUAUUGUGUUCACUACCAACCACAAGGAUCGAUUAGACCCUGCAUUGUUGCGUCCGGGACGAAUGGACGUGCACAUUCACUUGUCUUACUGCAUGGCAAGUGGAUUCAAGGUCUUGGCGUCGAACUACCUUGGCAUUGGUGACGAAAACCCUCAUAGGCUUUGUGGGGAAAUUGAAGGGUUGAUAGAGAGCGCGGAGGUGACCCCUGCAGAGGUUGCUGAGGAGCUCAUGAAGAGCGAUGACGUUGAUGUGGUGCUCGAAGGACUUGUCGAUUUCCUCAGAUGUAAUAAGGCCGAGAGGCAGCGGAAAAAGGAGGAAGAAAGUAACCAAAUUAAAGAUCAGGAAGCAGCUAUUGAAGGAAAGAAUCACAACUGAUUUGAUUACAUCCUGUAAUUGCUGUCAUUAAAACAACUUACCUAGAAUAGGUCCUAGAAUAGUGGAUCGUAUCAUAUGUAAACUGUAUAUAUGCUGUAAGACUUUGCACAAUGCAAUACACAUAAAUUAUUCUCAUUACAAAUUUCUAUAUGGUAUCGAGCCAUCGCUCUUGAGAACCUAGAAAUUCAUACAAACGAAUACCUCAUGACUGGUGACGAAGAGCAGAGACUCAUUGAACCCGGAAAGGGCUCGAACUCUUCCAAGACCUCAGAAUCAUGGGAGAAUUCCAAUCAUCCUCUUUUCCUCCAUCACUCGGACCAACCAUGUGCGGUCCUUGUUUCACAACCACUGAUGGAAGACAAUUAUAGAACGUGGGUGCAGUCAAUGAACAUGGCGCUCACCAUAAAAAACAAGAAGGGUUUUAUUGAUGGAACCCUAAAAAGGCCGACUCACAAUCCUGAUGAACAACUGCAAUGGGACCGAUGCAACGUCCUUGUCAAAACCUGGUUGCUAGGAGCCAUGUCAAAAAACAUCUCAAGCAGUGUUAUCCAUUGCAAGGAUGCUAGAGGUAUGUGGUUAGAGUUGCAAGAGAGAUUCUCUCACACUAAUACGGUUUCGUUGUUCCAUAUAGAGAACGCCAUACAUGAAUGUGAGCAGGGCACAAACUCAGUCACUUCCUUCUUCACAAAACUCAAAAGCCUAUAGGAUGAAAAGGAUGCUCUCUGUUCUUUUCCUACUUGUACCUGUGAAGCAGCAGCUGAAGUUAAGAAGUUUAUGGAGACGCAAAAGACCAUGAAAUUCCUUAUAGGACGUAAUGAGAAUUUUGCACAGACCCGCAGCAACAUCAUAAGGUUCGAUCCACUUCCGAACCUGAACAAAGCCUAUGCGAUGGUACUACGCCAAGAGAAGUAGGCAGAAACUACUGCUGGCAAGUCCAUGGCACCACAAGAAUCUUUUGCUUUUGUAGUAAAGAAAGUGACUCGUGAUUUCAAGUCUAUAGAAGGAGAAGCAAAAUUCUGUGAAAAAUGCAACAUGACCAACCACAACACAAAGAACUGCAGAGCUCAUCAUAAAUGCACAUAUUGCAACGGGAAGGGACAUACAUAUGACUACUGUCGAAUGAGGAAGAAUGCUACUGAAAGUGGCCAAGCAAGAUCAAAAGAAAAUUAUGUAGCUCCUCAAGAUGAUCAAAAGGAAGCUGUGAGUGAGUUCCCUUUUUCACGAGAAGAGUGUCAUCAACUUCUCAAUCAGCUCCUAACCAAAACGAAGGCUGCUUCAGCCAAUUUGGUCGGUAACAUUCCCAAUUAUGAAGAGCUUUUAGGUAAACUUUGUUCAGGUGCACAAAAUAGUAAAGAGCCAAUAUGGAUAUUAGAUAGUGGUGCAAGCGAUCAUAUUGCUUGUAAUCCCAGCUUGCUUACCUCAUUUAAGACAGUCUCUAAUCGUUGGGUCAAACUUCCCAACAGUACCACAGCACAUAUUACUCAUGUUGGCACCAUAGCCUUCUCUCCACAUUUUGUUCUUCAUACUGUUCUAUGUGUACCCUUGUUUUACCUUAACUUGAUUUCUGUGAGCAAACUAGCGUUCGACUCUUUCCAUAUUACCAUGUUUCUAAGACAAAUUUGUGUUGUACAGGACCUACAAUCGGGGAAGAUGAUUGGAACAGGAACUGAGAGGGAGGGACUCUACCGACUCAAUCUACCAAAGAAAGGAACAUGCAAUAUGGUACACACCAACUCGGACAGUUUAUGGCAUGAACGACUUGGGCAUCCUUCAAAUAAAGCAUCUUCAUUAUUUUCAUUUCUUGCAAAUAAAGCUUGUGAUUUAAGCUCUUGUUUUGUUUGUCUUUUAGCCAAACUUACUAGACAACCGUUUCCAUUAAGUACUACUCGUAGUGCAUCUUGCUUUGAUUUAAUUCACAUUGAUAUUUGGGGAGGUUAUCAUGUUCCAACUUUUUCUGGUGCACAAUAUUUCCUAACAAUUGUUGAUGACCAUUCACGAAGCACUUGGGUGUAUUUGAUGAAACACAAGUCUGAAGCACGCACUCUCCUCACCCAUUAUUCAUUUGGUUGCAACUCAGUUUGGUAAAAAUGUUAAGGUCGUUAGCAGUGACAACGGUCCGGAGUUUAAGAUUCCCCAGUUUUAUUCUUCUCAAGGCAUUAUCCACCAAACUAGCUGUGUCAACACACCACAACAAAAUGGUGUUGCUGAACGCAAACAUCGCCACUUGCUCAACAUGGCCAGGGCCCUUCUUUUCCAAGCCAAUUUGCCAAAACCUUUUUGGGGGGAUGCCAUACUUGCGGCUUACUUGAUUAAUCAAACACCAACUCCAAUCCUUCAGGGAAAAACACCUUUUGAAAAACUUUUCCAUAAGGAACCCAGUUAUUCUCAUUUAAGAGUCUUUGGUUGUCAAUGCUUUGUAUCCACACAUCCCACUCGCCCUAGUAAGUUUGAUCAUUGAUCAACGGAGUGCAUUUUCCUUGGCUAUCCACACGGUCAAAAGGGGUAUAAAGUUUAUAACUUGACAACUAUGAAAUCCCUAGUUUCAAGGGAUGUGGUUUUCUUUGAGAAUGUCUUCCCUUUCCAGAAAAAUUCGGAAUCUUUUCCACCCCAAAAUACUAAUUUGUUCCCUUCUCUAACUCGUCUAGCCCAUUAUGAUAAUCCUUCAAUUCCUACAAUUCCUCCUUCAAGUCCCACACAUCACUCUCCACCUCCAAUCUCUCACAAUCCCUCGUCUUCCGUUGAGCAUCAUCAUAAUCAUUCUCUUUCCACAUCUCUCUCAUCUACAGAACCCGUAUCCUCUAAUAUCACCCUUCCUAACUUGGACCCAAUCUCCUUUGAUCACAUUCAAUCACCUUUGACUCCAGAACAAUCUCCACCACCACCACGCAAGUCUUCUCGUGCUACAAAGCUCCCUACCACAUUGCAGGACUUUCACAUUGAUGCGGCCCUCCCCUCACGUCUCGCUCCGUCGUCUUUUUCGAAUGCGGUCACAACUCCUGGUAUGGCUCAUAGUCUCUCACAUGUUCUUUCUUAUGCCAAUCUUUCUUCUCCUCAUCGAACCUUUACUACUAAUAUUACCAUGCAAAGAGAACCUACAUCUUUUACUCAGGCCUUUAAAGACUCAAAGUGGAGAGAAGCGAUGCGGCUCGAGGUUCAAGCACUGCAAGCUAACAAAACAUGGAGCCUAGUUCCACUACCGGCUCACAAACGACCAAUCGGUUGUAAAUGUGUGUACAAAAUCAAGUACAACCCCGAUGGAACCAUUGAACGCUAUAAGGCCCGGUUAGUGGCCAAGGGUUACAGCCAAGUGGAAGGCCUUGAUUAUAGGGAAACGUUUACGCCAGUUGCUAAGCUCACCACCGUUCGAGUUGUGACAUCCCACAUCGCACAGGGGAGUGAUCCUUAAAUGUAUAUUCCCAUCCUUACCUAGCAUGAGGCCUUUUGGGAGCUCACUGGCUUCGGGUUCCAUCGGAACUCUGAAGUUAAGCGAGUAGCGCACGAGAGCACUCCCAUGAUGGGUGACCUACUGGGAAAUUCUCGUGUGAGUUCCCAGAAACAAAACCAUGAGGGCGUGGUCGGGGCCCAAAACAGACAAUAUCGUGCUACGAUGGUGGAGUGGGCCCGGGAAGUGGUCCGCCCCGGGUCGGGAUGUGACAAUUUGGUAUCAGAGCCUAACCCUGGCCGUGGUGUGCCGACGAGGACGUCGGGCCCCUAAGGGGGGUGGAUUGUGACAUCCCACAUCGCCCAGGGGAGUGAUCCUUAAAUGUAUAUUCCCAUCCCUACCUAGCACGAGGCCUUUUGGGAGCUCACUGGCUUCGGGUUUCAUCAGAACUCUGAAGUUAAGCGAGUAGCGCACGAGAGCACUCCCAUGAUGGGUGACCCAUUAGGAAGUUCUCGUGUGAGUUCCCAGAAACAAAACCGUGAUGGCGUGGUCAGGGCCCAAAACGGACAAUAUCGUGCUACGGUGGUGGAGUGGGCCCGAGAAGUGGUCCGCCCCGGGCCAGGAUGUGACACGAGUCUAGCUCAGUAUCGCAGCUUAACAAAAUUGGCAUCUACACCAACUCGAUGUGAAUAAUGUGUUCCUCAAUGGAGACCUCCAUGAAGAUGUGUACAUGCAACUUCCUCUUGGCUUCGAACGCAAAGGGGAGAAUAAGGUCUGUAAGUUACACAAAUCAUCAUACGGCUUGAAGCAAGCCUCCCGGCAAUGGUUUUUGAAGCUUUCCUCAGCCCUCAAGUCAGCCGGUUUCAAACAAUCAUGGUCUGAUUAUUCCAUGUUCGUCCAAAGCCAUCAAGGUAUCUUUACAGUUUUAUUGGUUUAUGUGGACGAUGUAUUUCUCGCAGGCAACAGUUUAGAUGAUAUUAUGAGGACCAAAAGCUUUCUAUCAAGCCACUUCAAACUGAAGGAUAUGGGACAGUUGAAAUAUUUUCUUGGGUUGGAAGUAGCGAGGUCCAAGCAUGGCAUUGCAUUAAGUCAAAGAAAGUAUGCAUUGGAAAUACUUGAAGACACAGGAUUCCUUGGUGCAAAACCUUCACGUUUUCCAGUUGAUCAAAAUAUAACCCUGACACAAGAAGGUGGAAGAUUGUUAGAAGACGCAUCUCAAUAUCGAAGGCUUGUUGGACGCCUCAUUUAUCUGACAAUCACAAGACCAAACCUCAUGUAUGCAGUUCAUAAACUUAGUUAGUUCAUGGAUAAACCAAGACAACCUCACUUAGAUGCCGCUCACAAGGUGUUGAGAUACCUCAAGCAGACGCCAGGUCAGGGCAUUUUCCUACCUUCAAAAGGGUCAUUGAAAUUAAGAGCAUAUUGUGAUGCGGAUUGGGCGCGCUGCAAAGACACUAGUAGGUCAAUAACGGGUUAUUGCAUCUUCCUUGGACAUGCUCCCAUUUCAUGGAAAACAAAGAAACAGAGUACGGUCUCACGUUCGAGUGCAGAAGCUGAGUAUCGUUCUAUGGCCACUGCUUGUUGUGACAUAACAUGGUUGCAAUACAUUUUGAAAGACUUGAAUGUUCAACAUUUGCAGCCAGUCAAGUUGUUCUACGAUAACAAGGCUGCACUACACAUAGCAUCUAAUCCUGUGUUCCAUGAAAGGACCAAGCAUAUAGAAAUAGACUGCCAUGUUGUAAGAGAGAAAGUGCAAAAAGGAUUGAUUCAAACAGAACAUAUAAGAACCAAGGAACAACCAGCAGACAUUUUUACAAAGCCCCUGAGUUCAAAUCAGUUUUCAACGUUGCUAGACAAGUUAGGAGUGAUCAAUAUCCACUCUAACUUGAGGGGGAGUAUUGAAGGAAAGAAUCACAACUGAUUUGAUUACAUCCUGUAAUUGCUGUCAUUAAAACAACUUACCUAGAAUAGGUCCUAGAAUAGUGGAUCGUAUCAUAUGUAAACUGUAUAUGUUGUAAGACUUUGCACAAUGAAAUACACAUAAAUUAUUCUCAUUACAAAUUUCUAUGGCAGCAAUGCAGAAAACGGAUGGUGAUGACAAUGCUGACGACAACGGCAGGGACUCGUUGGAUUCGAAAACUCUGAAUCUGAUGUAAUGGCUUGCGUAACUUGAACGACACAGAUUAUUUUAGGGUCUAUUUUGCCGUCUUUGGUCAACAGAAUGACUUGUGCCAGUCAAAGAAUUCGGCCUUUUUUGUCAUAUCAAUGCUCUCUCCACUAUACAUGACAUAUGGUGUCUAAUUAAAUUGGAUGUGUAGACCAGUGCAAAAAAUUCCAAAGACGGAUAGUUUCCGGCGGCUUCAGAGAAAUUUCUUUUCGAUGCAUAAAGAGCCAAUGAGUUUCUUUUGACGAGAUGGUCCACUGCAUACUGAACGACCAAGCAUUUAUAAAUGGAAUAUAGACCGGUGUACAUCACAUCAUUUGAGCUCAAUCCCUUCAUAGAAAUCGACCAACAUCUUGCCUUUCUCUGGUCGGAUUGUCAAGUUCUUUUCCUUGGGGUUCUUGCCAACUCUAAUACUCGCAGCGUUGGAGCUGAUUUUCGUGCACAAAUAAAUCUCCGCAGCUUCGUAGACUUGGUUGCGCAAAAUGCCCGCGUGUACCCUUGUGGUAUGGUAAAAUCUUUAGUUCAUGGGAUACACGAGGGUUUUAUUAAAAAAAAGUGAGUAAUUUAUGUACACUCUAUACAAUCUUUAUUAAUUUUGUCCCUCAGUUUUCCUUUUAUUUGUCUAGUCUAAUAACUAGAUUAAAUAAAUAUAAAAGCAGAUAUCAACUCCCCCAAUUCGCACAUAAAGUUAUGAACUCCAACAAAUUUACGAUCACAGGCAAAGACAGAAAAAACACACAUAAUAUGGGUAGCUCAUCCAAUCAUGGUUAGAUAUCAAGCAUAAACUAAAAUAAAGCCUCAUAUUGUUGUAAAAUUAUGAGGAUGAAUGAAUGUCCAUAGUAAGGGAGACGUGAAAAUAAUAGGGUAAUAGUAGUUGUGUGAUGCUUUUUAAAAGAGCAAUCAUUAUGUUUGUUUGGUUUGUCACGGAUGUUGCUCUAUAUAAAGAGUAUUAUGUGUGUGAUCACAAUAGACACUGCAAAAGGAAAAGAACUAAAAGCAAUAAUAUCAGUAUCCCUCAUUUCAUAUUUUUACCUGCAAUCUUUUUGUGUUAUAGUUACGAAACUAAAUAGUGUGAUAUUUUGCACCCCCUUCGCUCAUGUCCCUAACAAAGGUUAUCUCUCUAACUUUUGCCUACUUAUAACACGUUAUCAGUACGACUCUCUAACUUUAACCAGUUCUCAUCUUCCUUCACCGAAAAUGCUUCCUUUAAGGAUUUUCCUGUUUUUCUUCCUCCUCUUCCUCACAUGCUUGAUGUACCCUCGCGAAGAACUGCUAACACCAUGUUUGCUUCUAGUUCUCAAUAUAACAAUUACUUAUAUAUUUGAUUUCUUAUUUGGUGUCGCUCCUGAUUACUAACUCAGUGUUUAUUUAUAUCAAUUUUACUACGAUCGAAGAUGGUGCGGUAUCAUCGCCCAUCUUGAACUGCAGAUUUAAUUUUACUGCAAUUUGUAGGUGGUGCGGUAUAAUCGCCCACCCUGCUCUGCAUAUUUAAAUUUUCCUGCUACUUGAGUGGUGUGGUAUAAUCGCUCAUUCUAUGCUAGACUUUUCAAUGAGAGAGCUGCGGUACAAUCACCCUCCUCAUUAAUCAUGUAAAUCUCGAGCUUGAAGUUUCGAGUGCUUAUCAUUUUGGCCUGAAGAUCAAAAUAAAAAAUUUAUAAGAACUAGAAGUUCUAACACUACAAAAUACAUAUUAUUGCAAGUUCUUAUACAUCUCAAUUUUUUCUUUUAGAAAUGAAAAUGGCGAACUUGGCAAAGCUUGAUUUCGUUGCCCUGGAUAUUACUGGGAAGAACUACCUUACCUGGAUAGUGGAUGCCAAGAUCCAUUUGGAGGCAGGGAAUCUUGGAGAAACCAUCAAGGAGGAAAACAGUGCAUCAUCUUAAGAUUGAGCGAAGGCCAUAAUCUUUAUCCAUCACCACCUUUAUGAACUGAAGAGCGAGUACCUAACGGUUGAAGAUCCAUUAGCCCUCUGGAAGGCAUUGAGAAAUAGUUACAAUCACCAGAAAAACGGUGAUUCUUCCAAGGGCUCAUUAUGAGUGGACACACCUAAGUAUCCAGGAUUUCAAGUCGGUGGCUGAGUACAAUUCUGCAAUGUUCAAAAUUAGCUCCCAGAUAAAGCUUUGUGGGGUGACCAUCACUGAGGAAGAUAUGCUAGAAAAGACUUUCAGGACAUUUCAUGCCUCCAACGUGCUUCUACAACAGCAGUAUAGUGAACGUGGCUUUACUGAGUAUAACCAACUGAUAUCGGUGCUCCUUGUGGUUGAAUAAAACAAUGAGCUUCUGAUGAAAAAUCAUCAGUCCCAACUUACUGGAUCGGCACUAUUCCCAAAAGUGAAUGAUGCCUCCCUCGAAGUGAACACCGCAUCCUUCCGUGGUAAUAAUCACAAACGAAGACGUGACCACAAGCGAGGCUGGUGGAACGGGAAAUGAAAGAAUCAUGGUGUCCAGUUUUACAACUAGGGUCCAAGGAAUAAUUCAGGCCCGAGCUUCAAGAAUGCUAAUCGUCACAAAGGUAAAACUCAUAUGAAUAACACUCCUAGAAAUCCUGAAGGGGUUUGCCAUAGGUGUGGCAAUAGACACUGGGCACGUACCUUUCGUACCUCAAAACAUCUGGUGGACCUUUAUCAAGCCUCCCUCAAGGAGAAGAGUGUUGAAACCAAUUUCCUCGACCAGGCUAAAUUGAUGGAUAUACUUGAUUCAGUAUUCGAUUUAUCAGGGCAAUUGAAUAGAACCCACCUAGAUGUCUCAUACUUCAUUGUGGAAAGAGGGAAUGAAGUGUAUCGGCCCGAUUGAAUCAUUUAUGUUUGAUGUACUCUUAUUAUUUUGAACUUCUAGUUUAAAACUCGCAUUUCAAUUCAAUAAAAGUGACAUUUCGAUUUCCUUUUAUUAUGAAUAAACUGUAUGACGGAGAUAUUUUUCUUGCAGACAACGCAACCACACAUAUAAUACUUCAAGAUCGAAAAUAUUUCUCAAGCUUGAUGCUUACAAAAGAAAGGUAACAACAAUAUCAGGCCAAUAAGAUGUAGUUGAAGGCUCAGGAAAAGUCCAGAUGAUGUUACCAAAUGGAACAAUAUUGUCCUUACAAAAUGCAUUGUACACUACUCGAUCUACUCAAAAUUUGUUGAGUUUUAAAGACAUACGUUUAAAUGGAUACAACAUUGAAACGGAGAGUGCAGAAAAUGUGGAAUAUCUAUGCAUUACCCCCAAUGAUACCCAGAAGCGUACAUUGGAGAAGUUGUGUGGUUUAUUGAGUGGAUUGUAUUAUACAUACAUAAAGACAAUUGAAGCACAUACGGUCAUGAACAAGAAGUUCAUUGAUCCAAAAAAUUUACAUGCUUUGGCAUGACCAUCUGGGUCAUCCAGGAUCCACCAUGAUGCGUAGAAUCAUUACCAACUCUAAUGGCCAUCCAUUAUUGAGCAGAAACAUUGCUAUGUCAAAUGAAAACCGUUGCAAGGUUUGUUCUCAAGAGAAGUUGGUAAUUAGACAAUCACAAUUAAAGAUUGAUGUUGAAUCCCUAUCAUUCUUGCAAAGAAUUCAACCACUUUGUGGACCAUUUCUAUAUUUUAUGGUUUUGGUUGAUGCAUCUACUCGAUGGUCAUAUGUUUGCCUCUUGUCCACUCAAAAUGUAGCUUUUGCAAAACUUCUUGCUCAGAUAAUUAAGUUGCGAGCACAGUUCCCAGGUUACCAUAUUAAGUCAAUCCGACUUGAUAACGCUGGUGAAUUUACGUCUCAAACCUUUGAUGAUUACUGCAUGACACUAGUUAUUGAUGUUGAACACCCUGUUCCUCAUGUUCAUACUCAAAAUGGUUUAGCAGAACCAUUUAUCAAGCAGCUUCAAUUAAUAGCCCGCACUCUGCUCAUGAAAACAAAAAUGUCAGUCUCUGCAUGAAGACAUUCAAUCUUACAUGCUACAUCAUUGGUUCGAUUGAAACCUAUAGUCAAACACAAAUACUCAUCAAUACAACUCGUGUUUGGGCAUCAGCGAAACAUUUCACAUUUACAAGUUUUUGGUUGUACUGUUUAUGUGCCUAUUACACCGCCACAAAACACUAAAAUAGGACAUCAGUGCAGACUGGGAAUUUGUAUGGGUUUUGAAUCACCAUCUAUCAUUAGAUAUUUGGAACCCUUGAUAGGUGAUAUGUUAUAGUUCGUUUUACGGAUUGUCACUUUGAUGAGACAGUAUUCCCGUCAUUAGGGGGAGAAAAAACCGUUCCAGAAAAAUGGUAAGAGCUGACAUGGGUUGUACCCACCUUAUCUCAUUUUGAUCCAAGAAGCACUCAAUGUGAAAAUGAGGUGAAAAUGAUCGUUCACCUUCAAAGUAUAGCUAAUCAUCCCAAAUGCAUUUAAUGAUGUUACGAAAGUGACAAUCAUAUAUACCAGCUGCAAAUGCACCUGCAAGAAUUGAUGUCCCUGUUAGACAAAAUAAAGUGGCAGUGAAUGAUUCAUCUGGCGCACACUUGAAGUGUGGUAGACCCCCAAGUUCAAGAGAUUUAACCCCUCGAAAAAGAAAUAUGAGGGCACAGCUGAAUCCAAAUGAAAUCAUUCAGGAAAAGAAAAUGAAUGACAAAUCCACAAUUCAUGAUUCUGUACUUUCAGAAAAAGAAAAUAUCCUUGAUGAGACACAUGUUCCUGAAAAGAUAGAAGUACAUGAAAGCAAAGAAAUCUUUAUAAAUUAUGCAUAUACUAACAAAUUGUGGGAUCGAAAUGAAAUAAUCAUCGACGAUAUAUUCACAUCAGCAGUAGCCACUGAAAUCAUAUUAAGCGAUGAUAUUGAGCCCCGCUUUGUUGCUGAACACAAACAGAGAUAAGAUUGGCCUAAAUGGAAAGAUGUAACCCAAGCAGAAUUAAAUUCCUUGGAAAGGUAAAGUGUUUUUGGACCAGUAGUCCAAACCCUGCCUGGUGUAAAUGCCGUAGGUAACAAAUGGGUAUUCACAAGAAAACGCAAUGAGAAAAACGAGAUUGCAAGAUAUAAAGCAUGACUCGUUGCACAAGGUUUUUCACAAAGACCUAGAAUUGAUUAUAAGGAGACAUACUCUCUUGUAAUGGACGUAAUUAUGUUCCGUUAGUUAAUAAGUUUGGUGGUUUCAUAAAAACUUGACAUGUGACUUAUGGAUGUUAUCACCGCAUAUCUAUAUGAAAAAUAAGAUACUGACAUAUAUAUGAAGGUCCCCGAAGGACUUAAGUUGCCUGAAAUGACUAACAAACCACGAGGUAUGCUCUCAAUCAAAUUAAGGCGAUAAUUAUAUAGGCUAAAGCAAUCUGGACGAAUGUGGUAUAAUUGUCUCAGUGGGUAUUUGAUCAAAGAAUGAUAUACCAACAAUGUCAUUUGCCCUUGUGUUCAUUAAGAAAUCAAAUUCUGGAUUUGCUAUAUUGGCAGUUUAUGUCAAUGAUAUGAACCUAGUUGGAACCCUUGAAAAGCUCAAUAAAACUACUGGGUAUCUGAAAAGCAAAUAUGAAAUGAAAGACCUUGGAAAAAUAAAAUAUUGUCACGGCCUGCAGAUCGAGCAUUGUGCUAAUGGAAUUUUGGUCUAUCAAUUAGCUUACAGUGAAAAAAAUCCUGAAGCAAUUUGGCAUGGACAAGGCUUAUCCACUCAACACGACAAUGGUUGUUCGUUCUUUGGACAUUAAGAAAGAUCCAUUUUGUCUAAAAGAAGAUGAUGAAAUGGUCCUUGGUCCAGAAGUACCCUAUCUGAGUGCAAUAUGUGUUUUAUUAUAUUUAGCUCAAUGUACUAUACCAGAUAUAGUUCUUUCAGUCAAUUUGUUAGCAAGGUAUAGCUUUGCUCCAACAAAUUCAUCAUUGGAAGUGUCACAUCUCGGCCCGGGCCCCUACGACAUCCUGGGCUCGACUCCACUUUAGCACGAUAUUGUCUAAUUUGGGCCCCGACCAUGCCCUCACGGUUUUUUUUUUAGAACUCACACGAGAACUUCCCAGUGGGUCACCCAUCCUGGGAAUGCUCUCGCCCGAACUCGCUUAACUUUGGAGUUUCGAUGGAACCCGAAGCCAAUGAGCUCUCAAAAGACGUCAUGCUAGGUAGAGAUAGGAAUAUACAUAUAAGGCUUACAGGAUUCACUCUCAUAAGCAAUGUGGGAUGUUAGAUUUGGUAUCAGAGCCAAUCCUUGGCCGGAAGUGUGCCGACGAGGACGUAGGACCCCUAAGAGGGGUAGAUUGUAACAUCCCACUUCUCUUAGGGGAGUGGAUCUUGUAAGCCUUAUAUGUAUAUUCCUAUCUCUACCUAGCACGAAGCUUUUUGGGAGCUCGUUAGCUUCAGGUUCCAUCGGAACUCCAAAGUUAAGCAAGUUCGGGCGAGAGCAUUCCCAGGAUGAGUGACCCACUGGUAAAUUCUUGUGUGAGUUCCCAGAAACAAAAUCAUGAGGGUGUGGUCGGGGCCCAAAGAGGACAAUAUCGUGUUACGGUGAAGUCGAGCCCGGGAUGUGGUGGGGGCCCAGGCCAAGAUGUGACACUUCCAAUAUCGUGCUAACAAAUUUCUAUUUAUGUGCUAAAUCUUAUAAACAUCACGCUAAUCUAGGCGUAUUAUAGAAAAAUCUUUGUGAAAUGUAUAAAUGGAAACUAACAAUUAUAUAUAUACUAUAUAAAAGAAAAAACCCACACACAGUUACUUGCAAUGUCACAUCCAUUCGAGCUAGGAAAGCCGGAGUCUCCGAUAGUAAUCGCACCUAAGCAUAAUAUUGGGACCCAUUAGUAAAACUCCAUUAAGACAAAUAAAUUUGGGAAAACGGAAUGCGGAUUUGGAAUCAGGGCGUCGAAAUUCGCUAAGGAAGGUUCCCGAAAAUUUUUGUAAAAAGUCAACGGUCAACCAUAAAAAGUCAACCGAGCCGCCCUAACGGUCAACUAUUUUAAAACUUUGAAAUUUCACUAAAUGGAUAUAAAAAAUGGACUCGAGGUGUCGAGAUUAGUCUAUGACAGUUUCCGAGAAAAUUCCGAAAAAGUCAACACAAAGAAUAUUCUAGGAAUAUUCUAGAGAAUAUUCCUAGAAUAUUCUAAGCCCAUUUCAGAAUUGGGCCUGUUGGAAUAAUAGCCCAAAGGUUUGGGCCGGACUUGGGUUAAGGGCUUAUGGGCCAAAGUCUUGGAUUAGGUUCUGGGCCAGGCUUGAGCUUAAGGCCUUUUUUUUUUCUCUUCUUUUCCGACCGAUUGCCGCUGCAACCGUCGGGAUAAUCCCAACUCCAACCACACCAAAUCUUCACUAAACCUAGCCUUCCAAGAUAUCAAAUCGAAGCUCAUAGGACAAGGAAUAAGAAAAUAUCUUUGGUUUCCUCGACCGUGGCCGGAGUUGGUCGAAAAACGGCUCGAAAACCGCCAUAAAUUUGGAAGUUCUUCCCCGACAUGGUUCUGCAUUCCCAACUUUGUCGUGGAAGGAAGAAACUCAUCGGAAAAAUCAAACCAAUACAAACUCCUUGGUCCGUACACGACCAAAUAGCUCAGUUUUCAAAUGGAGGUUGAUAACUGGUAUUGUGGUGGUGGUUCAAUAGUUAAAUGGAUUGUCAGAGUGACAAGGUGGUGUGGCGAUGCUUGUCGUUCCGGUGAGGGUGGUACGGUGUGGGGUGGUUCUCUGCACUUGUAGAAAGAGAGAGGUAAGACAGAGCUAAGAGAUGAGAGAGUUUUAUAGAGAUAGAGGUCCAAGAGAGUUGGAGAGAAAGUGGAAGGUUGAGACAGUGAUAGGAAACACGGGAGUGAGGGGAAGAAUGGCGUGGUUCGUUAAUGGCCUUCUUGGCCUCUUUGUUUUCAAAGAAGAAAAUGGUAAUGAGGGAGAGAGAUAGAGUUUUUAAAUAAUAAACUUAGUAAGAAGGAGUAAGGUGUUAACAAGAGUAUGGUCCAAAAGUUAAAAAAAAUGAGAAAGUUUGAAAAAGAAAGAAAUCGAGAUUGCUGGAGGGAGAGGACACGGGAUAGGGCAAAAGUGGGGUGUGGGCCCCACGUGGCUCACAAAAUAUCUCUAAAUAUGAAAUUACCAAAUCGCCCUUCACGUUUCAUAGUUUCAUAAAAUCUACAUCGUAUCUCCAAAUUCGAUUUUGUUUUUGCCUAUGUGUUCGUAUUGUCGAGUACUACAAAAAUACGCUAAAAGAAUAUUUCGUACGUCUCACUAUACGCUAGUCCACGAAAGUCAACACCCUCGCUUCUAGGGGCAUUUUUGUCAAUUCACGCAUUUAAAAUUUCUAAAAUUGUAAAAUUAGGGACGUGUUGUCACAGUACUACUAAGUAGCAAAACUUUAUUAUUUAUAAUGCAAUAAAAAAUAAAUCAAAACGAGGCUUUAAGUGAUAUACUAGUGUGAGAACCCUAAAAUUAAUGUAAAAUAUGUAGUGGUGGAGCCACCAAGGGACUAGGGUAGUUUGAGGCCCAUCCUGACUUUUGUGAAAGGUGUAUGAAAUCAACCAACAGCCCCAAAUUUAUUUACAGAGGUGUGAACCUCAUGGAAGAAGAUGAAGCAAGUCAUUAAGCUAUUUUGGUUUUGAAUUUGUUUGACUUUUUAAUGAAAUAAUGAGUUUGGUAGGGGGAUUUUUAAAAGGGACGUGCAAUUUAAAUGGGAAAAGCAACCCUACUACUGAUUCGAUUCUCUCAGCUAACAGUAAUAUACACUCUAUAAUUUUCUAAAGCAACCCACCUUCUUUUUUAUUUGCGGACCUUCCCCUUAUCCUUCUUUUUCAACUUCUUUGUAUUUUCUUUAGCCUUCCACAGUCUACCUCUUACUUUGUUGUCUGGGUUGGUACAUAUUUUUCUUCUUAGUAAUGAAUUUAAUAGAAGUCUUUCAGAUUUGUGAAGAUUAUACAAAUUGCAUAUAUUAACAUGAAUUCAACUUUUACACACACGUGUGUGUACACACAUUUAUUUAUUUAUUUGUGAAAGGCUCUUUCUCAUUUAGAAUUUUGACUCUGUCACUGAAAAUAUGAAUGGUAAAUUCCAUUUGUGAUUGAAGUGUUUUGUGUGAGACAAUCAGUACAUAGUGGACCAUCAUCAAAUGGAACGCAACUUGGAGGAAACGCAAUGGCAGUUGUCAUGCAUCGAAAUGAGCUUUUCUUGGAAGCUACCGGAAAGUCUUUGUCUUUGGAUCUUUUAAAAGAAUUUUCUCGGAAGCUGCCGGGGAUCUUUUUUUACAUUGGUCUACAAAUCCAAUCUAAUUAGAUGCUGUGUGUAAGUAUACGAGAGAUUUUUCAGUAUGAUUGGUAUACGAGAUGGUACACUACGUGUCAUUAUAUAAAUAGUGGGAUAUGUGUGUUAAAAAGUUAAUAACUUAAAAAAUGAAAUUUCUCACUACUUAUAUAAAAACACAUAAUGUACUACCUGUGUUCCAGUCAUAAUGAAAAUUUCUCCAAGUACACAGGGCAUAUGACAAAAAAGCCUAAUUCUUGUUGUUCAUCAUUCCAUUCAUACUUCAGCCAUGACAAAUAUCAAGCUCAAAUAUUUUACUCAUGAUUCAUAUCCAUUAGUGUAUAAGAAGCUAUUAUCACACGCUCUUUUAGCCUUACACUAAUAGAAAUAAUAUACAUAUGAUUAAACAUGGAUCUGUAUAGAAAAAUUAAAGUAUUUUGUUUUUAUUAUUUCUUUAAUGGGUUAGAAUCUAGAGAUAUACAUUUUUAUGGAAUCUACUCCGUAAUGUAUUUCAACGAUCUAACCAUUUUUCUUUUAUAUGUUACCUCAAAGAUCAUAUCUACUAAAAAUCACCCAAAUCUAAAGUCAUAUGAUAAUUGGAUUAAAUUUAGUGUUUCUUUGUAAAAAUGUAUUUGUCAAUUUUCUUUUACUAAAAAUGAAUGUCUCAAUAAGUUUUUUUUUUUUUUUGUCAAGAAUGUCUCAAUGAAGUUAGGUUUGUCUAAUUUUUUUUUUUUUUAAAGAAUGAUCUGUGAGUGAUGAAUUAAAAUAUGGGAACUUUAACAAAAAGCUCUCGGAACUAUUCACUUUAACGAAAAACCACAUAUUUACACUAAAAAAUCAAUCCUGAUACUAUUCACUUUACCCUUUAUUUUGUCUUUAUCGUUAAAACUCAAAGUUUUCAAACCAUUUUCAUUAGUUUUCCUUUAAAAUAUAGGUGAUUCAUAUCAUUGAAAAAAAGUUACAGAAUGAGAGCCACAAAAGCAUGUGUCAAGAUAUAUGUCAAAAACAACAUUCUUUAAUAUCUAAACCAUAUGUUAAUAGAAUUAUGUUAGUCAACCAAAACUCUUAAAAUUACUAUUUUAACCCUCUCGUCAAAACAUGGGCAAUUUUUUAAUUACAUAAAACAAAAAUUUUGUUCUUUUUACAAAAAUACUAUUUUUAUCACCUAUUUGUACCAUCUCUCUAAUAUAGAUGGGGAUCCAUAUACGUUGGCAGACUCUAUCUUACUAGAGAGAUUGUACAAAUGUGGUACAACCAGUAUUUAAAAUAUCGGUAUCAAUGAAAAUAUCAAUAUGCAAAUUUGUAGAAAUAUCGAUAGAUAUAUCGCAUAUCUAUAUCGAUAUUGAUUGUGGCACACCCCGAUCCUAAAAUCAAGGCGUGCUGGCCGUCACGUGAGUGUGACGUAGCCAAAAGUGCGACACGGAAGCAAGAUAUAACAGAAAUAUGAAGGAAUUUAAACCAACCACUAGCAGCAUAACCUACUAGCAUACAAGAGAGAGUUAUAAAGUAAAACACACGAAUUCAGAGCGUAGGUAUAAGUGCAGUCAAGUAGGACCAUAAUUAAAGUACAACAUCCGCAGGUGAGUCCUACAUGCAGAACGUCUGUCAGAAUGCCGAAAAAGACCUCGUGAGCCACCAACUGCUAACUAGAACCUGGAGGGGCGCAAAACAAAGGUGAGUGGGUGAGUAAAACCAAAGAUUUUCCAAAAACAUUUAUUUAAAACGUUUCUAACCCCUCACCGUAAAACAUGUAUACUUUCCCAGAAAAAUAGUAUAUAAACAUAUAUAUAUAUAUAUAUAUAUAUCAUCAAAACUCAGCUUACCAUCUAUCAACAUAACAUCUCAGAAGGAAUAUGCCAUGUCAUGCCAAAAUAUAAUAUGAAUGCAUCAAUAUAAUCAGGUGAAAUAAUAAAUCAACCGGAGACCCUGCAGUGGUCCUGUACAGCUGAUUCUAUAGCUCAAUAUCCCAUCAAGCCGGAGUCACCAACUGUGACCUGUACGGCCCUGCCGGAGUCACCAACUGUGACCUGUACGACCCUGCUGGAGUCACCAACUGUGACCUGUACGGCACUACACUGCACAUAAGUUGGAACUGCCUAUAGUAGUCUGUACGACUAAGAUGGUGAAAUAAUACGCUCUAGUGCUUCUCUCAUCAAUCAUAUGUGCACAUAAUCUAAAGUCACCCACCAGUUGGAACCCCUCUAAUGGUCUGUACGACUGGCAUAUCGGAACCACCUCUAGUGGUCUGUACGACAUCCACCUACUUGGAUCCAAGGCGAGCGUGCGGUGUGGUGAAUACUAUAAGCACUAAUACCAAAGGUGCAGUUUAUGAGCUCACAACGCAAUCACAUCAUCAUUCAUUCAUAUAAACCAUAUAAACUCACCUGAUACUCACCUGUGCGUCCACGACACCAAUUCACACACAUAUAUAUGCAUCAAUUAUCAUUCAUAACUCAUAAUAUGCAUGCAUGGCAUUUUAGAAAUAUAAUUUCAUAUAAACGCAUUUUCUGGGAAAACAGUAGUAUAUAGGUAAUACGAAAACAAAAUUGCCCACUCAUUGAUAAGUCGAUGGGUCGUAACCCCCGUGACAUCCCUGGAUGCGCUCGUCCUCGGGAUAGGUGUCACCUAUAUGCGAAACAACUAUAAAAACGUUAAUUUAAACACAUAACCAACAAUUCGAAAUAACUUCUCAUACGGUGCUCAAUUUGGGUAUAUGAAUAUACCACAUCGACCUACUUGAUGUCACGGACGUCGAGAAAUUUUUAGAAAAAUUUUUGGAAGCUGCACGCGCCCCCACGCGCAUCAUCCCUAACCUUGGCUCGCCGGAUUGAACUUUCCAGCGGCCGGUUUCCGGCCAAAUUUGAAACUCCUUGUUCUCCUUCGUUUCUCAACCAUUUUCUUCAUAUUUUAUAUCAAUUUGAAGCCCCAAACAUGUAGAUUCACGAUAUACUACGUUAAAGCUCAAAAAAACAACUAAAUCUCACCGGGAAAAUCCAAGAAAAACCGGCCAAACUCGAACCUAGUGAUCCCGACGUCCAAAACCUUCAAACGAAGCACUCCGAGCUUCCUUGGGACCUCACUAAGCUCACUAUAAGCUUAGAAUUCCCUGAAAUGCAACAUUUCACGUGUGCAUGAACAGUGCACAUUUUCGAGGUUAGGGUUUCACGACGAUUCCGAGGGUUUCACUUCCUAAAAUUAGUACCAAUCAACUCAGAACAUCACAAGGAUAAAGAAUCUUACCUUGUUUGCUUCGAUCCACGGAGUUUUGGAGGGUUUUGGGUGAGGUCCGUACGAUAUGGGUGAGAGAGUGUGAGAGAAUCGUGAGGGAUGAGAGAGAGAGUUACGGGAAAGAGGGAGAGGACAGGGAGUGUGUGAGGUGUCCAACACCUAUCCUCACCAUCCAUUUCAUCUAAUUCCCUAACCACAAAAUUAACAAAAGCCAAAAUUUUAAUCCAAAACUUAUAAUAAGUUAAACCAAAUAACGUCACACACACAUACCUUAAUACCCGCUAAGGGUAAAUCCGUCAUUUCACGUCCCCAAAUAUAAAAUCCCGGGACGGGCUGUGACAGAUUGCCUUCGAUGGAAAUGAUGGAAAUUUGUUCAAAAACAUGAAACUAUAAAAUUAUUUUUUAGGGAAUGUCAUACGAAACCACAACACAUGUAUGAAUCAAGAAUUAAUGAUUAGAUACAAUGUAAACAAUAAAUAUGUGAUAUGUGAGAAGAAAAACUUCCUUAUAAUGACAAGUAAUAAAAUAAAGCGUUUCACUAGAAAGAAUAAAUUAUACAUAACUUAAUUGAAAUUUUCGUCAUAAAAGUAGCAUAAGUUUUAUUAAAAUAAACUACCAUAAAGACAAAUUAAUAAAAAAUACAUAAAUAAAUUUAAAAAAAAAAAAGCAUUGGCUCAUGAAUAUUUCCUGCAAACACUGGAUAUUUCCUGAAAAUAUCGAAAAUAUUGAGGAAAUUGACUGAUUUCCAGAAAUAUCGUGGAUAUGGGGUGAAGUUUGACUGAUUUCCAGAAAUUGACUUCACCAUCUCCUUCCAUAUCGUUCCCUGAAUUUUGGAUAUUUCCGUGGAAAUAUCGAGUAUAUCUAGGAUAUUUCAAACACUGAGUACAAUUAGAUGAUAAGUGUAACAUUACCUUUUUUUUUUUUUACACAAACCUCACAUCCAUGUAAACAUACUACAUCCUAUUUAAAAAUCAAAUAAAAAUAAUUGGAAGGUUUUCUUUACCGGAAAGAGAUCCUCUUCGGAUCUCUUCCACCAAGGUCACCAGAUCAAGUGAUCUGGACCCUUGAAAUUUGAUCUAACGACUAAAGUUAUUAUAACUUUUAAAGGAGACCUUUGUUUUUAGUCGUUUGAUCAAAUUUCAAAUGUCAAAGAUUCAAUGGCCUUGACGGAAGAGAUCCAAAGAGAAUCUCUUUCCUUCUUUAACCCCAUAUCCCCCACUUCGACCCCUCCCCUUCUUCCACGCACAUUUUUUUUCAUUUAAAUUAUUUUUUCUUUUUCCUAAAAAAAUGAUAUAAUAUUUUUUUAUAACAAAUAAUAGACUAGUGUAUAUAUAUAAAACAAAAUUAUUAUUCUUAUAAUUUAUUUGUAUCAUUUCUCUAAUAGAGAUGAGAUCCACAUGCGUUGGCAAACCCUAUAUUUAUUAGAAAGAAAGAUGAUACAAAUAACGGUCUAAUAAGAUGAUAAAUGUAUUACUACUUUCUAUAUAAACCGUCUCUGAAUAAUCAGAAGAGACUAAGCAAGUAGGAAACCGCAUCUGAAUAUACUCAGAAGGCAGAAUUGCUUCGAAACUAAGCAAAAAAAUUGAAAUAAAAACGCCUCAUUACUUCAUGUUUCUGCACAUCUUGAAAAAAACACAAUGUUUUCUUCUCUCAAUCUCAAAGAAAUGCCAACAAACGCGUCCUCCUUGUUCUCAGCCUAUGCCUCCUUCGCUGCAUUCAUGAUGUUGGUCCGCACCGCGGCCAACGAACUCGUAAACCUUGUACCCGACAGGGUCCGCGCAUACAUAGAAUCUGUCCUUCUCCGUCUAUUCACCCCUCUCUCGGCUUCCCAUGACCUAACUCUCGUCAUUGAUGAGAACGCUGGCAUGACAAGAAACGAAGUCUACGAGGCCGCGGAUGUCUACCUCCAAACCAAGAUCGGUCCCUCAAACGAACGUCUUCGGGUCAGCAAAACACCUCGACAGAAAAUCAUCAGCCUCGCCAUCGAAAAAGGCCAAGAAGUCAUCGAUACCUUCGAUAACAUUGUCCUAAAAUGGCGUUACGUCUGCAUUGAAUCCGAUAAUAACUCUAGUCGUGAUCAAAAGCGUCAAUUCGAGCUAAUAUUCCACAAGAGGCACAAGGACAAAGUUGUCCUCUCCUACUUGCCUUACAUGCUUGAUCGAGCCAAUGCAAUUAAAGAACAAGACACAGUUGUGAAAAUUUAUACACGACAUUCAUAUUCGUACUAUAGUGAUGAUGACGAUGGUGAUUGGGGUUCGAUAAGUCUGGAGCACCCGGCUACGUUUGAAACAAUGGCGAUGGACCCCGAGCUUAAGAUGAUGAUUAAAAAUGAUUUGGACAGGUUUGUGAGGCGGAGGGAGUUCUAUAAGAAGGUGGGGAAGGCUUGGAAAAGAGGCUACUUGUUGUACGGUCCUCCCGGCACCGGAAAAUCUAGCUUGAUCGCGGCCAUGGCAAAUUAUCUCCAUUUUAACAUAUAUGAUUUGGAGCUUUCUAGCAUUAACGGCGACUCGGAAUUGAAGGAGAUAUUGUUGUCCACUAAAAAUCGUUCGAUUUUAACAAUUGAGGACAUUGAUUCCAGCAUUGAUGUCGAAAAUCGUGAAUCGGAGGAGGAGAAGCAACAGUCUUCUAAAACCAAAUUGACGCUUUCGGGCCUAUUGAACUUUAUUGAUGGUUUGUGGUCGAGCUGCGGUGACGAGAGAAUUAUUGUGUUCACAACCAACCACAAGGAUCGGUUAGACCCUGCAUUGUUGCGUCCGGGACGAAUGGACGUGCACAUUCACUUGUCUUACUGCACCGCAAGUGGAUUCAAGGUCUUGGCGUCGAACUACCUUGGCAUUGGUGACGAAAACCCUCAUCGGCUCUGUGGGGAAAUUGAAGGGUUGAUAGAGAGCGCGGAGGUGACCCCUGCAGAGGUUGCUGAGCAGCUCAUGACGAGCGAGGACGCUGAUGUGGUGCUCAAAGGACUUGUCGAUUUCCUCAAAUGUAAGAAGGCCGAGAGGCAGCGAAAAAAGGAGGAAGAGAGUAACCAAAUUAAAGAUCGGGAAGCAGCAAUGCAGAAAACGGAUGGUGCUGACCAUGUUGACGACGACGGCGAAGGGAUCGUUGGAUUCGAAAACUCUGAAUCUGAUGUAAUGGCUUGCUUAACUUGAUUGAUGGUGUGGGUGAGGGACAUUCUCACCGUAGUGUGAGUUCUAGUUUUCAUUUCAGGUUUCCUGCUUGGCCGCCGGCCCUGCUAUGGCCAGGGUUGGUGGCAGUUCCUGCUGUUUUCUUUUCCUUUCCCUUACUGUCUUUUGCAAUAAGCCCAGCCCCGUUUCUCCGAACUACCCUUUUUUUGUGGUUUGUGUGUGCUGGGCUCCAAAGUAGACUUCGGGCUUUGUGUGUUUUUGGGUCCAUGUUUUCUUGUAUUUAGUGUGUUUUUUGGGCCUCUUUGCGUGUACUAUUUCGUUGUUGGUAAUAAAAUUACCUUUUGACAAAAACAAAAAAAAAAAAAAAAAAUUGAAUGAUAUAGAAUAAUGUUAGGUUCUGUUUUGCCCUCUUUGGUCAAAAGAAUGACUUGUGCCAGUCAAAGAAUUUGGCCUUUUUGUCAUAUAUAGGCACUAUACAUGACACAAUAUUGAAUUAAUGAAUAAUGCUAAGAAAAUUAAAUUUUGAAAAUUAAAAGACAUGUAAGUUGACAAUUGGUUGAUUACUUAAGCGUUGAUAGACGUGCUCAUUUAUAUUGGUGACACAUCAUUUAAUUUGUAAAUUUAGUCUAUGUAGUAUUACUCAUAAUUAAAUUGGAUUUGUUGUCCAAUGUAAAAAAGAUCCGAAGACAAACUUUCAGGCAGCUUCAGAGAAAGUUCCUUUCGAUGUAAAAAGCCAAUGAGCUUCCUCCAAAUUGAUUUUUAUCUGAUGAGAUGGUUCACUGCAUACGGAAUGACAAAGCAUAAAUGGACUGUAUAAACAAGUUUACAUCACAUGAUUUGAGCUCAAUCCCUUCAUAGAAAUCGACCAAUUUAUCGCCUUUCCAGGGUUCUUUUCCUUGGGGCUCUUGCUAACUCUGAUACUCUGCGUUGGAGCUGAUUUUCGUGCACAAAUUACUCUCCGCAGCUUCGUAGACUUGGUUGCGCAAUAUGGGCACCUGUGUACCCUGGUUGUAUAGUAAAAUCUCUUCAGUUCAUGGUAUAUACGAGGGUUUUAUAAAAAAAAAAAGUGAUAAUUUAUGUACACUCUAUAUAAUCUUUAUUAAUUUUGUCCCUCAGUUUUCCUUUUUAUUUGUUUAGUCUAAUAAUUAGAUUAAAUAAAUAUAAAAGCAAAUAUCAACCCCAAUUCAUGAACUCCAAUAAAGUUUAUGAUCACAGACAAAGACAAAAAAACACACAUAAUUUGGAUAGCUCAUCCAAUCAUGGUUAAGAUAUCAUGCUUGCUAGCUCAUCCAAUCAUGGUGAGAUAUCAUGCUUAUUUGUCCCUUAUGACAAUACAAACGUAAACUAAAAUAAAGCCUCAUAUGAGCUUAUAUAUUUAGUUUACAAGAACUCAACAGUGUGUUGGAAGUGACACCACAAAGAAAUUAAUUAAGGGUUUGAUUUCCAACUAAUACAAUUAAAUAAAUCUAACAUUCAUCACUAAUUAAUCAUCUACUUUCUUGUUAAUAUCUUCAUCAUUAUCUGCUUUCCUGCCCUUCAUCUCACUCUUAGCUUCCUGAGAAACCCUACUUUCCUUUUCCUUAGCCUCUAGUUCUUGUUUCCUCUUAGCCUCAGCAGCUUCCUCAUUUUCCUUUUUCUUCACCUUGAAAAAUUCAAUCAGGCCUUGCAGUGCAACGCCAGGCUCGUCGCUCUUGAUCAGCUGCUCAGCCACUUCCGCCGGAGUUACUUGAACGGCUUCAAUUUGUUCCUCAAUCUCACUCAACAAAAUGUGCUCCUUAAUUCCAAGGUAAUUGGAAACUAGAAGCCUAAAACCACAUGGGGUACAAUAGGACAUGUGAACAUGAACGUCCAUGCGACCAGGGCGCACCAGUGCAGGGUCGAGCUUGUUCUUGUGAUUGGUUGUGAACACGAUAAUUCUUUCAUCGCCGCAACUCGACCAAAGGCCGUCGAUGAAAUUGAGCAAUCCUGACAGCGUCACCUAUUGCAUACAUGACUUCAAUUAGCUUGGAAAAUAAUACAUAUGAAUUUAUGACAAACAUGACAAUGUCGACAAUGUUUUAUCACGUUUUGUAUAGAGCUGAAAUUUACUCCUGUUAAUGGGCUCUAGCUACUUUGCCAAAUAUGUGAUCAACAAUGUCGAUAAUAAUGUGAAGCAGUUAUGAUAUUUUUUUGUACUUAUUAGUUUAGUUUCCCGCAACUCAUAAUGUUAAUGAUAAACUCUUAAAGAAUCAUACUACAUUACAAUUUUUUUUAUAUUAUUUAUAGUGCAAUAACAAUUCGAUGCAAUAACAAAAUAAAUCAAAAUGAGGCUUUAAGUGUGAGUAUAAAAUUGAAUUUAAGUAUCUACUAGUGUAAGAACCCUAAAUCUUAAUGUAAAAUAUGAAUGGUAGAUUCCAUUUAUGAUUAAAGUAUUAUGUGUGAGACAAUAAGAGCAUCUCCAAUGAGAGUCCCUACUUAGGAACUCCUACUAUCACUUUUGAGGACUCAUUUAAGAGUUUUAGAGGAAUAUUUGAGUCCCUAAAAGAAUAUUGUCUACAAUGGAAAUUCUUUAGGGAGUUUUAACGAAACACUCCCGGUAUUGUUCACUUUUAACGAAAAAUCGCAUUUUUACCUUUUCCUGGUACUAUUAACUACACCUUUAUUUGUCAUUUUUCAUUAAAACUAAAAAAAAAAAAAAUUACUUUUUGUUAGUUUUCCUACUUCUUUAUUGUAUAAUCUCUAAAUAUAGGGACUAAAAUAUUAAAAAAUUAUUAAUCAUUUCAUUGAAAUAUUGUAACCAUUGAUAAAAAUAAAAAAAAACUAUCUCUACCAUUAAGUCCCUAUAUGUAGUUUUCAUAUUUGAGAUUUCUUUUAAGAUAUCUGGCGAGUCCCUAUGUAUUAAGAUACUUUGAAAACUUCAAUUCCGGCCCAUUGGAAAUCAUUUGUUCCUAUAUUUAGGAACUAUACUGUUGUAGGGACUCCAUUGGAGAUGCUCUAAGUAUAGGAAUGUGCUAUCCACACACUCAUUUUUACUUUUUACAUAUUUUUUAAAUUUAUAACAGUCAAAUUAAAUGAAUUUAAAAAAAAAUCAAAUGAUAGAAAUUAAUAAAUAGUGUAUGAAAAGUAAAAAAAAAAAAAAAAUAUUUGCAUAGCACACUCCUAAGUAUAUAGUGGAACAUCACAUCAAAUGAAACUCAACUUGGAGGAAACGCAAUUGCUUUUUAUAUGCAUCGAAAGGAACUUUCUCUGAAGCUCCUGGAAAGUCUUUGUCUUUGGAUGUUCGCAUUGGUCAACAAAUUCAAUAUUCAUAUGAACCGAGGCUGAGACUGAACCAGAUAUUGCCAAACCACUUCAACCCGGAAGAGAUGGUUUUUAUGUGCAAUGUAUAUAAUGCAUAUGACAAAAAAAGUCUGGUUUUUCACAAGAUUAUGGCAUGUGCUGUCUCUGACUCGGUUUUCACGUUAUUCUAAUUAAUUCGUUCUAUGAAUUUUUUCGGAUUUCCUUUAAUUUAAUUUUAUGCAUUCGUGUAAGAGCACAUUGCUAACUACAUUUUUAAUAUAAGAGCAUUUUCACUUACUAUUAUAAUUGUGAUGUAUGCUUAUAUUAAUGUUAUUUUUUUUAUUUUAUUGAAUAUUGCUCGACUAUUUUAUUAUUUAAAGAUUGACGGUAAUUUUAUUUUCCCCAACGACAAGUACCCUUUUAAUACACUUUAUUUUUUAAUUUAAAGCGAAGAAAAUUUUGUAGUGUCUUAGCAAGAGACAGAAGGGUUAAGAAUACAAAUAACAUUAUUUUAUUCAAAUAAUGGCAUCACAAAACACAAACUCAUUUCUAGUAAUGUGUCAAAUACACCCUGACAUGUAUUCAUAAAAAACUGAUAAAAACAUGGGAACUUUAACGAAAAGCACCCGGUACUGUUCACUUUAAUGAAAAACCACAUUUUUACACUAAAAAGUCAAUCAUGGUACUAUUCAUUUUACCCUUUAUUUUGUCCUUAUCAUUAAAACUCAAAGUUUUCAAGCCAUUUUCAUUAGUUUUCCUUAAAAACAUACAAAAAAAUGUUUUUGCACAUGUAUAAUUUCAAAGUGGUACGAUCGAGAGGAGGAAUGACUAUUUUCAGAAAAGGAGCAAAGUAUAUUUUUCUAUAUUUCCAAUUCAAGUCCAAUGAAAGACACUUUCCACACUUCAAACAAAAUAAAUAAAACAAUAUAUAAGGGAGAAAAUAGUGAACAUCAAAUUAAACACCUAGAACCAAAAAAAAAAAAAAGGGCAUGCAGUACAAGAAGAAAAGACUUAAUGCUAACCUGUUUCUCUUGGGACCCACGUGGGUCUGAAGCUCUAUUGAGUCUGCCCUCAGCCAUUCGAUCUUGCAACUCAAUGGUACAAUCAAUAUCCUCCACCACCAAUAUCGACCUAUUAGCCAUUGCAAUCAGCAACCUCCUAAGCUCCGAGUUGGACAUCAACGCAGUGAGCUCCAAGUCAUAGAUAUCAAAGUUCAUGUAAUUAGCCAUUGCAGCAAUCAAGCUUGAUUUCCCGGUCCCCGGUGGACCAUACAACAAGUAACCUCUCUUCCAAGCCUUCCCAACUUUUCUGUAAUAAUCCUUCCUCCUUGUGAACCUUUGAAGGUCUUGAAGAAUGAAAUUCUUGAUCUCCGAGUCCAAUGCCAGCGUGUCAAAGGUUGCCGGGUGAUCGAGAUUUGUGGAGGUCCAUGUGUCGCCUGGGUUGUAGUACAUGUGGUCAGAUUGAAGUGUGAAGAUUUUUAGGGUUUUCUUUUCUUGCUUCAUGGACUUUGAUUCUUUUACAAUGUGUGGGAGGUAAGAGUUUAGCACCAAGUCUCUUUGUUUCUUGUGGAAGCUCAGCUCAAAGGAUCUCACUUCUGAUCUCAAAGUUGAGUUGAGGUCUCUAGGGUUGUGGAAGUUCUGGGAUUCAACUUGCCUGUAACAAGGUAUUAAAUACCGAGAUUUAUUUUUUAGAGAAAUAUCGACAAACAUAUUAACAGAAAAUUAUCAGCACAUUGGAAAAACGGUUUAUAUGUUGUCUAACAAUGUUCUUGUACCAAACUUAUGAUUUAGGCAGACAAAUAUAUUCAGGCAAAAAUCAACUUGAUCGAUCACUGAUCUAGAUUGGUACAGUCAAACUUAAAAUCUUAUAUUAUAAAACACAUGCUUAAUGUUGUCAAACUGUAAAUUCAUUAGAUCGCGCACAUUCACUCAAGACUCAAUUUGAUCAAAUAUUUAUCAAACAAUAUAAACAGUUUUAUGCUAUAUUAGAGAAAUUAUGAAAAGAUAAUGGGAAUUUCAGAACAUGCCUGGAUACCAAUACCCAAGUGAAUUUAACUCCACUAAAGUCGUCCACAAUUUCUUGAUUGCUUUCCAUAGUGAUGGUGAAGUUGUUUUCUUUCUCGGCCUUGCUGACUUUAAGUCUUCUCGUCCACGGGGAGACUUUGCCACCCAAGUAGAUUUCUGCAGCCUCAUAUAUCUGGUUGUUGACAAGGCCAUCGAACUCUUCUAUGACCAUGGUGAGUUGUGACGAAAAUCGACUAAAGAAGUUUCGGAUGCCGGAGAAGAAGUAGUAUUGGAUUUCAUGGGGGAGGAGGUCUUGAGCGAUUGACCUUACUACCAUUGCCGUGGCAGCCAGAGAGGCUGCCGUUGAUAGAAUUGUCUUGGCUGUUGCCAGUUUGGUUUCAGCUGAAGAAGAAGAUGAAGCCAUUCUGGAAUGUGAACUGAAAGUUUGGUUUUGGUUAAUUAUAUGUAAUCUGUUUAGUAUAUUGAUCUCAAAUGUGGCUAUCUCUAUAUAUAGAAAAUGUUCGAGUGAGAAAUAGUGUGAAUUGAGCUGAUGAGGACGGCUGACUUCAACUCAAAACUAUGAAGAGAACCUUCGCAGCUUCUUCCUUGAGGAGUGGAUUUUACUUCAAAAUUAAGACUUGGGGUUCUGGAUAUAAGGUGAAAGGAGUCAAAGGACUGAAAUUAAUUUUUUAUUUUUUUAAGGGUCAUUUUGGUUCUGGUUCCUAAUCAACUAGUUGUUAGAAUGCAAUCUUAUUUGUUUAAAUAGUUUGAUCAAGGUCUCUAGCAUCAUUUAAGGGAUUUAAUUCAUGCACUUAUGCAUUUAAUAUCCCACAAAUUAUGAAAUUUAAACAAAUCCAAAUAAUAUUGUUACAAAUAUAACAAUUGCUUAAAAAUCAAUAAUAGAGUAAUUUGUUCUUCACCUAGUUCUAGCAAAAAAAAAUGUAUAUAUGUAAUUAUUAAUAUAGUUCAAGUAAUAACUAUUGAUAUAUUUUAAAGCAUAAUUGUUGACCCUAAAAACUACCAAGCCUACGUGGUGCGCAGGCCAAAUAAUCUAUGAGCUAACUAUGUCAUUCGGUUGAAUGCGGUGCCAACUCGACGGCCGAGCUCGGCCGAGGAGUAAAAUUUGUUGAUGUUGCGUUGGGUGAGUUGCUGACUUCUCGAUCUUGCGACUGCGGCCAAUGAAGGAACACUCUCAGCCUUCGAGUUCUAGAGCCUAAAGACAAGGCUGCUAGUUCUGCGAAGUUCAAUAUCAAAUUCGGCUCUCAAGGUGCCGAAUGUAGUAACCUGGUAACACCUCAUUUCGCCGAGAAAGUUGAUGAGAUGACCUCUGCCAAUAAGGAUUUGAAAAUCCUUCUCGAUCGAGACUUGGAUAGAUAGCCAGUCGACCUCGUCGCAGUGCUGUUUAUCCAAACUGAAGGUGCUUCACGGUCGGCUGACUCUACGACAACAGUGUUGUUUAUCCAAACUGAAGGUGUUCCCCGGUUGCCUUUACAGUGCUGUUUAUCCAAACUGAAGAUGUAUUGGCGGAAAAAGAAAAUAAAAAAUCUCAAGAUGUUUGAGAAGUUUCACGUAGAGCGAGGGUUUGCACAGGGCAGUUUGUGUGUUAAGUUGGAGGUGGCUUUUCACGUUGCACAUCGCCUCUGUAUUUAUAGAACUGAAGUUCUUGCUCUCCACGAUCAUAUAAUGUUGUAGAAACCGACUGAAACUCAAACUCGUAAAAUGACUGAUCCACGGCAUAGGCGCUAAAGCCUAUCUUCAUAUGGCUAACUUUUCAAAAUAAUAAAAGCUCAUUCUGACUUAUCUUACCAUGACUAAAAACCUAGGCUAGCUAGGCUUUCCUAUGUCAUCAUAACACCACCAUCAAAAACCUAGCUUUUCUAGGUCUUGUCACAUCAUCAUCACCCAAAGUCACCAUUUCUUUACCUCAUUGUCGCAUGCAACCUGACCCUAUGAAUAUUAAAUUCAUUUUUAAUUAUCACCAUAUUUAAAUAGAUAAUAAUCUGAUCAGAAUCCAAUCCCCUCAGUAGUUUUCAAGUAACCUCAUUUAUCUAAUGUUAUGCAUAUCUGUUAAUCAAAACUGAUCCAAACCACACUUCCACAUCAACUUGUGCCGCCUGUUUAGCUUGGAGAUAUAUUAUUUUCAUAAGAAAAUGUCAAGAUAAAUCAUUAUUAAAAGAUAAUGUUACUUUUAAUAUUAAUAAAAUUAUCUUCACUUUUCUAUAUAGAGGUAUGCUUACUCAACGGCCUCGAUUGCUCGGGCAGAUAGUGUAAUUUUGGGUCCAAACAAUAACAUAACCACAUAUAAUUAGCAUGGGUACAUUCAUAAAUAUAGAUACAAAUUAAAUUAAAAAUAUGGGUGCAUUUUAAAAUUCAAAACUAUGGGUACAUAUAAUUAGUAUGGGUACGUUCAUAAAUAUUGGUACAAAUUAAAUUAAAAAUGUGGGUACAUAUGAAAAUGAUUAAUAAUUUUUUCAUUUUUUAAUUGACAUAUAAUGACUUGUAAAUAAUUUAAUAUUCAAAUAAAGACAUGAAGAAAAGUAAAGGGAUCUUGCUAAAAAAAAUGAAAAAUGAACAAGAUUUCAAUUAAUGAGAAGAAGAAAUGAGGAGGGGUGAGAACCUAAUGGCUUGUAAAUAAUAUAAUGACAGAAAGACGUUAAAGGGUGGAGAAUUCGGAGUCAAGUCGCACAAUAGAUAAAUUAUAAUUAUUUGAUAUUAAAUAUGUCUUCCAUGAAAUUCGUGAAAAAAAAUUGAUGAUAAAAUUCAUUUCAGUAGUACUUCAUCCACUGGAGAAAAGAAUUGAAGAAUUUAAAAAAAAAAAAAAAAAGAAGAAGACUAGUACUUUUAAUUGGUCAAAGUCUACAAGAACUUCUUGGUCGAGGCGUAGGCACUACGGUAAGUAUGGUCCAUAUAUUAAAUUAGGUAAGGUAUCAAUUUAGUUCCUGAACUAUCAUUUCAAUGAAAAUUAGGUCAUUGAAUUAUUUUUUUUCGGUAAAUUAAGGCCCUACAUUCAUUAAAAAUUGGUAAUUUCAUCCCUACUAUUAUAUUCAAAGUUAUUUUAUCUAAUUUUUCGUCAACUUAAGUCUUUUGACACACUUUAGAGUGUAAUAUCGUUCUUUUCACGCCUAUAAGCCCUUAACAUUUCAUAUUUGUUGCGAAUCUAAUGUCUCAAUUACCCUCCAAAGUUAAACGAAUGUAACAUCUAAUUUACCCUCUAAAUUUAGCUCCAUACACUAUUUUUUUUUAUAUUUAAAAUUACCAAUCUACACUCCCAUAUGUAUCACAUGCAAGUAACAUGAUUUAAAUCAACGAAAAAUUGAAUAUAGUAGCUUCGAAUAUAAUAUUAGGGAUGUAAUUGGCAAAUUUUUAUAAUUCAAUGACUGCUUUCUGAAAAAAUAAUUGAGGGACCAAAUUUUCACUCAAGUGAUACUUCAGGGACUAAAUUGACAGUUCACCCUAUUAAAUAUGAAUCUUCGUGGCAUUAAACAUGGAUGUUAGUGGCUUCUCAUCUAUCAAAGUCAUGCUUUGUACUAUUUUAAUUAGGCUGCAUUGUAACUAUAAUAUGUUAUUAAUUGUCUAUCCUACCAAUGUAUUCUAACCUCCUAUUUAAAGGGCUCCAUAUGUAAGGUUAAGUAGUGAACUGGUGAAUUAAAAGUUAAUCUAAGAAGAUGGUGGUUUUUCUCCUUCUUAAACAAGCAUUUGGCUAGGUCGUGUGAGCGAAUUCACGAUUAGUGAUGUCAAGUGAUUUUGUUGCCCCUAGUUAAGUAAUUCCCAGGUUCUUAUUCCCCAUCUCCUCGGGACUCCCUUGGUUUUACUGCAUCAGGUGAGAAAAUGGGUUAAAAUUUCGCUAAGAAAUAUUGUUCAGUUUCAAAAAUAAAGUGUUCAGUUUAAGAAAUAGUGAUAGUAUCAGUGUUCAGGCCGAGAAAUAGUUGUAGUACCCACGUUCAGUUCAAGAAAUAGUGUAGUACUAUGUUCAAUUUCAGAAAUAGUCAAUGUUAAGUUUUUAAGAACAUAGUGAAUGAGGGGGAGAGUGUGUGUGAGUUAGUUUUUUAUUACUUUAUUUUAUUUUUAUUAUAUUAAUUUUUUGUUCUUUUCUUUAAAAUUUAAGUCAUUUUCAUUAAAGUUUAAAUCAUUUUGAUGAAUAAAUUUAUUAGAUGGCUUUUUGUUAAUAAAAAAAUUUGAAGAAACUCUUUUCAUUAAAGCUCUGUAAAAUUUAAUGGAAGUUGAUGUUCGAACAAACUCCAUCCUCUUCCACAUUCAUUGACACAUUAUUAUCUUUUCUAAAGUAGAAGAUGAGCUGGCUACAGUCAAUUCAUUGCCAUCCAAUUUCACUUUAUUUACAAGAAACCCAUCAGAUUUGGGUUGCUAUUGGGACUGAGUUGUUUUGGACCGCUCAUGAUAUUGUCCCUAGGCUUUCUCAUUUGUUGGUGUGAGGCUGGCCCUUUAGGAGUCUAAAUGACAAUACUUCCCAUCUGGGCUUCAAAUCGCACAAUGAGGAUUGCAAGUUAAAGGGGUGCAGUCGUCAUUUCGAUCUUGGGGUUUCAGAAUGAUUGGGGUUAGGUUGUUCCCCAUAAUUUCGUUCUUCUUUGUUGAGCCUAUGCCAUCAUAGAGAGACGGAGAGAUAGAGACAGAUAGUGUGACAACCUGUCCCAAUUAAUUAUACGAGUUUUGAAACGAAUACGUACUUUUGGUAUUUUCAGUGAGGUGGAAAGUUUUUGUGAAUGGGGAUUUUUUUUGGGCCUUCAAUGGUGUGCCCAAGAUGGGGCCCACUCCUGUUUUGGUCCCCCGGUUCCCCUUUCUUCCUUGGUUACCAUGUGGCAGCUCAUCCCCUCUAUUCUCUCCCUCGAGCUCAUUGUCCCUCUUAAUUCACUAUCCAUCUUGCACAACCCUCUCUCCCCCGAGAACCAACACACACACCCACACCUACCACCAGGGAUGGGUUUCCUCUCUCUUUCAUCCUUUCUGAAACACAGAGACUAUUCGAGGAUCCCCUUCGGCGAGCACCGUGGAUUUCAGACUAUUUCCUGACCGACUCCGGCCACUUCACGGCAUGUCUCAGGUACGAACCUCUUCCUCUCCCUCGUAGCUUCAGUUAUAGGGUUAGAUCAUAAGGUCUAGUGGAGCACCAAAUUCGAUCGAAGCUAGGGAAGAUCUGAUCUUCUGCCUCGCCGAAAUUGGGUCAAACCUGACCCAAAUCCCUUCAAAUCGGAUCCCCUAACCCCGAGUUUUGGGUCGGCUUUCAAGCCCAAAGCCCAUGGAACCCCAAACCUAACCCAUUAAACCAAAACCCAAAACCAAGCCUCUGGGCCGUGUUGACUCGGGCCUUCAGCCCAAUGAACCUAUGCCCAACCUUGCAGACUGGUACUCUUAAACCCAAGCCUUUAGGCCAUAGAACUCAACCCAGUUGUGAAACCAAAGCCCACUGAACCCAAGCCUAGGACCCGAGCCCAGAUCCGAAACAACUCGGUCAAAUCCUAGAACCUAGGCUGCACGUGGGAGCGCAUGAGGGCAGAUCGAUGCCGGCGCGUGGAGCACACACGCCUCCGCUAAAGGCAUUGUGCUCUGCCGUCUACAGCGGUGUCGGUGACUUUUUCGGCCAACUUUCCAGCGACUUAAAAUGGCGUGUGGCGGCGGGUAGCUGCUAGAGCCGCCCCCUUGCGGAGGCGCGUAGGGGAACCUGAGGUCCCCUUUAUGUUUUUCGACGUCCUGAAUCCAUUUAUGACGUCCAUUUUCCGUGUUCAAUCGUUAUGAUAGAGUUUUAUUAAUUUGACCAUUUAUGUGCUUAGGUGCGAUUAUUAGCGGCGAUUUCGUUCUUCCUAUUUCGCAGGGCUCUUCGAUGAUGGAGUAUCUGUGAGUGGACCCCUUCUAAAAUGCAUGUUUUAAUAGUAGAAAUGCAUAUAUGAAAAGCAUGAUUUAAUGGUUACAUUUUAUGAAACGUUUUAUGAGUAAAUUAGAUUUACACUUCAUGAUUAUCAUGCUUUACUGAGAAUAUUUUGGAAUACCAUACUUUAUCGAAUUUAUAUUCUUGGUAGUAUAUAUGAUGGAUGACCAUAUACUAUUUAUGAACAUGUUUUUACACCCUUUGUAAUAUAUAUGAUGGAUGACUAUAUACUAUAAAGAUGUUUUAAGAUAUAUGUACGUAUGUUGCAAAGAUUAUAUUCAAUGUUUUGUGCUUAUCUAGUGGUCAUUGUUCUGCCUACGAGCGAUGAUGCUUAUAAUUGGCCUAAGAGUCGGGUGAUGUAGUGGCCUACAGGUCAAAUGAAGAUAUUCAUAUAUUUGGCCUACGGGUCGGGUGAUGUAGGGGCCUCAGGUCAGAAUAUAUUCAUAUAUUUGGCUUACAGGUCGGGUGAUGUAGGGGUCUACUGGUCGAUUAUGAGAUUUAGCACAUUAUAUACGAUAUAUGUUUUAUGAAAGGUUUUAUGGCAUGCUAGGGUUUUCGGAAAACCUAUUACAUAUUAUGCUAUUGAGUUUUCAUAAAACUUUAGGAGUUAGUACGUUAUUGAAUAACUAUGUUAGUACUACUUAUAUAUCAACUUGGUCCACUCAUGUUUGGUUUUGCGCCCCCUCAGAACUUAGAUUCGAGGAGUACAAUCCCGGUGUCAAGGCACUCCCGCAUCGGCAUGUUCGAGUCAUCUCGGCGUAGGACCCAUUCCUUUGUUCAUUCAAAUUUAUAGUAUUCCUUUUUAGUGUCUUAGAUUAGUUGUAUGCUCUGAACACGUUCCUCAAUUGCAUAGUCAUUAUAUUUAAAUUCGUAACUUUUAUUUAUGUUUGUUAUUUCCCAUGCAUGUUAGUAUGGCUUCGUCAUCUUCGGGUGUCGGCCAACACAUGCCUACUCUGAGUAUUUGAAGGAUAUCGGAAUUGGGGGUGUCAAAGAGAGAAAGAGAGAGAGAGGGGAGCGGUAGGGGUUGGGAUGUCAGUGCAUUCUCUGUUGCAUUUUCAGAUAAGUGCCUUUUUAAAUUACAUUUUGUACCAAAUUUUUACUUUUUUUUUUAUUGUUUCUUGCAUUUAUGGCUGUGUGCAUGUGGUGAUUGAAAGGUCAAAAAAAAAUUGCAAAUCUUUUUUCACUAUUUGGUUAGGUUAGCCUUCUUUUUGUUUUAAUCAAUUUUGGGAUUUUCUGGGUCUCUAUAUACUUGGUUGUUUCGGGGUUUUUCUUCCCAUUCUCGGUCCUUCCCUGUCUGAAAUUUUUUCCAGGGUUCUUUCCUUAACUUUUUUUUUUUUUUGCGUUUUCAAUUUUUUGCAUAUGUGCUUUGCCAUUCGUGUUUGAUUACAAUAUUUAUGCUUGUAAUAAACCCUUUGAGUGUAUUGUUAGCUUCUAUUUAGAGUGUUGUUAGUUGUUGUUAAGUUGCUGCCAUUUUUUGGUAAUUAGUAUUAAAAGUUUUUUAUCUGUGAUUUGAAUUGGAGCAAAAUUAGUAAACACAAUAGACUGAUUUACAAUCUAUGAUUUUCUGAAGAAAAAAAAAAUCCAUUUUUAAAUUGAGCUCUGUUUUAAAUUUUUUGUAUUUGUGCCUGUGUAUGUAUAUGUACAUCUGUGUGUAUGUGCAUGCAUGUGUAUGUGUGUAUGUAUGUCUGUCCACGUGUAAAAAACCCUUUAACUAAACAUGUUUUUACAACUUUUAAACACUCACCUUUGUUGAAAAGUGCAGUUUAUAUGUGUGCAUGUGUAUAAGCAUGUGUAUAAAUGUAUGUGCAAGUAUAUGUAUCAAUAUAUACCUAAGUAUAUGUAUAGCCAUCUGUAUAUGUAUAUGUAUAUGUGUGUAUGUACAUGCAUAUGUAUGCAUGCAUGCAUCUCUGCGUGUGUGUGUGUGUGUGUAUAUAUAUAUAUAUGUAUAUAUAUAUAUAUAUAUGUAUGUAUGUAUGUAUAUGUAUGCAUGCAUCUAUGUGUGUACAUGUAUAUGAAUGUAUGCAUGCAUGCAUGCAUCUGUGUGUGUACAUGUACGUAGAUGUGUGUAUAUGUAAGGUUUAGGGUUUAUGUAGUUUGUAUCUGCUUCUCUCUGUGUGUGUGCGCACGCGCAUAUGUAUGUAUGCAUGUAUAUAUGCAUCUGUGUGUGUAAAACCGUUUAUGUGUGUGUGUGUGUAAAACCCUUUGACCUUUGAAUGCGAUGUUUUUAUUUCGAUUGUUUGAGAACGAGAAAACUAAUUGUUCCUCUCUUUUUAUGGAUUGCAGGAAACAUACCGCUGACUCGGGAUUUUGCAUUACAGGUUUCAUUCACUAACCCUAAAUUUUUAAUGUUGUGCAACUAUAACUUUUUGUAGCUUAAUUAUUUGUGUUGUACAAAAUGUUUUUCAUUUGGUGUUUAUUUUGGACAACGAUGCGAUUAACUAGGAUUCUUUCAAAAACCUUUAAAAAAAACGUUACUCCUUUAAUUGUUUGUGGAUUAAUCUAUGUUUCAUUUUCCGUAUGUGUUUUAUCUUUUGCCGAUGAAUUUUAAAAUUUGCCUUCAUUAUGUAAAAACAAUAUCUUUUAUGGUUGCAUCUUUUGUUGCCUCAAACUUCAAAAUCCGCCCUUUUGAUUCUGCAUGCUCUUUGAUGUACUUUAAAUUCAGUUUAAGUGCAAGUUAAAAUAGCCAUAUCGGUUAACUUUGGUCUUCGGUUAUCAAAUUAUGUUGAAUUAUUUGUGUUUGCUUGUGUUUUUUUUUUUUUUUAAAUUGGUUGAACUAAGAUGUGCAUUUUCUAGAUUAAUCUAAUUGAAAAUCCAUUACGGAAUAAGAUCCCGCAGCAUCGCGGGCAAGUUUUCUAGUUGAUACAAAUUUUGAAGAAUGAAAGACGAAGACGUCGUCUUGGCAUAUCUAAAUAGAGUAAUGGCAUUUCUUCCAAGAUUUGGUAGCGACUUUACGUUUUGAGAAAUUUUGGUUUCGCGAAAUGAUGGGCAAACCAGAACCGACUCCCAGCACAAACGUUUGGCAUGGUCUCGACUCUCAACCGUACACAACUGAAGCCGUUCGGCAGCCAGGGCUAAGUAAACAAAGGAUAAAAGAUUGAUGAGGCAUGUUGAAGACUAAUCAGUGCAUGAUCACCGCUUUACGACUCUAACCUUGACACCAUUCUUGAAAUUAAGAACAAUGCCAUACUCAAGUGCCAGAGGUUUCUCCAUGUUGGGAGAGUGCCGGAAUACAUACUUCCGGUAUAAAUGAAUCAGCGAGAGCUUUAAUUCUUGUAGUGAAAAUUUCUGACCAAUGCAUGCUCGUGGCCCGAUUCCAAAUGGUAUAAAAGCGUAAGGAUGCCUUUGUUUCUCUUCGUUGCAAUCUGGAUCAAAUCUCUCUGGCCUGAACGUGUCUGGUUCCGGAAAGUUGUUUGGAUCUUUCGCUAAAACUCCGAGUGCUAGCCACACCCAAGUCCCCUGCUCCUCGAAAAAAGUUAGGCCCAUAAAGUUUGCACUCAUUUCCAAUUCACAUAGGAAAAGUAGAACAAUACCUUUGGUAGAAGAUAGCCUCCUAUUUCGACUUCUCUAGAUGUUUCUCUUGCAACCAAUGGUGAAACCAAGUAAAACCUCAUUGCCUCUUUAAUAACCUGCAUUUGAAAAACCACUAGGAAGGCAUGAUUAUCCAGUAAAUAAAGCCCUAGGAAUUUCAAAGCUUUUACGAAAGUCUAAAUUUAUAUGAAAUUCGGAAGACAUGCCUGAUCAAUAUAAGGAAAUUUGUGUUGAAGAUCAUAAGCAGUUGGCAUCUGAUCAGGAGGUCCAAAUCCAUCAAUUUCCGCCAGCAACUUCCUCUCGACUUCUGGGUGUCCAGCUACCAAGUAGACAGUUGAAGACAAUGUGAAUGAUGUAGUGGCUGAUCCAGCUAGGAGAUGCUCAUAAGUAACCGCACUAAUGUAGUCUUGAGUGAAGACAUUCUUUGCAACAGUUUCCGACUCCCUCGCAUUCAUUAUGAGUGACAAGAAGUCCUUUGAACCGCGUUCACUGUCUUUCAUUCUUUUCACCACAAUCUCAUCAAGCCGGCCACUCAACUUCCGGUUUGUACGCUCAACCUUCCAGUCCAUUGUCCCAGGAAUUCUUUUCAAGACCUGCCUAAAUGGCUCCUGGAGAAUAGGGGCAAGUAAUCCCAGUAUAAUUGAGAAGGAACCGGAUAAGUCCAUCUUAAGCUGAGUAGUGGAAUAGAUGUGUUGGUUAAUAAAAUCUGAGACUUGGUCAUCGUCGUUGUUGUCUUUGCUGUCAAUCUUGUCGAUUGAUUCGUUGAUGGAUUCCAGUUUAGAGAGGCCAAAGUUGACUCCGAAUGCAGCUUGUCCUAUUACAUCAGUGGCCAACCUGAGGGAGAGGUUAGAAAAGGUAAUAUCUUCCGCUUCUUUGGAGGAGUCGAGCUUUUGAGUUGCAGACUCGAUGAACGACUGCAUUGUGGGCACAAGGCUGGCUAGGUGUGAUGGCUGAUACAACGAUAAUAUAGUGUUUCGCAUCGUCGACCAUCUUGCAUCCCUGCAGGAUAUACGUUUGAAUUCCAUCAGAUUAUUCAAUAAAUUUGAUGACUACUGUAACUGAUAGAUACUCUACACUAUAUUUCACUUAGCCUUUCAAUACAGUUUUAAAAUUCUGUGGUCAUAUCUAAUUGCGUCGUGUAUCGCACUUUAGCCCACCUGUCAGUUUUUCUCGUAUGUUUUGGGAUCACAUAACACAAUUUAGUUGACCAAAGAAUCUAUGAACUGAAUGGAAGGAUCAAGGUUAAAUAGGAGUAUAAGUUUCGUAACCACUGUCGUAUAUAGCCCGUACAACAAAUACCUGGUGAAGAAGAGACCCUUCUGAUGGAGUGGGGAAGCUGCGAUGGGAGACGGAAUGCUUCUGUUGUUGAUAUCUUUGAAAUUUUUUAUUCCUACUUCUCUACAAAGCUCUGCAUCUGCUACAAUUAUUAGUGGCUGUCUACCCAUAUGAAACCUGCCAAGAUGUGUAGAAUCAAAAACUUAAUAGCUAUACUAUCGCCAUACGCAUGCGCGACCAGUUUUAACAAAUUCACAACUAAAGUGACAUGACUAAAAUAUACCGUUAAUUACGAGAUCCUAUGUUUACCAACCAUCAUCCAGUCGAACCAUACAUUUCAAUCAUAUAACGUAUACGAUUUUAUGAAAUUUCUGUGGAAAAAAAUUGUAGAAAAGAAGACAUAAUUUUUUGUCGCAAAGGAGAUUACAAAUGCAAAUCUGCUACAUAUAUAUAUAAAAUAUACACACAUGUAUACAUACUAACCUGAAAAGAGGGCCAUAUUGUUUGGCAAGAACUGAGAAUACAUCAGGACCAUACUUUGCCAGCAAGGGAAGGUGUCCUAGCAAGGGGAUAACUGGAGGGCCAGGUACCCUUCUCACCCUCCAGUAGGGCCCAUACAAGUAACUCAAAACUCCUGCAAACAUUGCCAACGCCGUGAAAAGGGUCGAUGGUGAUACCAGAAAACCAUUGGUGAACAAUAACUGCAGUUCCAUGCUUGUUGCUGCCUAUCAGUUUCUAAAUCCUGAUUACUCAAAGCGCUAUGGUUGCUUAGUAUUUGCUACUCUUCAAAAGAUUCUUUGAUGAACUCUUAUAGAAGUAUAUGGUCCUUGUCGCUACAGAUUGAAGAUGCUAUAACAUUUAAGAAAAUAUUCUACUUGGCAUAAGUACAAGUUUGGACUUAUUCCACAUAACCCCAAUGUUUAAUUUAUUACACAAACAUUUGAUCUUUUGUGGUUGACGUUUCCUUCCUCGUUUUGUAUUUUAAUUCAUUUGUCUUUUUGUAGAUGUGAAUCACUUAUUUUAGGAUGCCACAAGAAAUGUUGGAAUUACUUUAGUCUAAAGAAGGCUUUUCAAUUGCACUGUACCAAUGAACAGUGUUUUGAACCACAUUUCGGUUUAUUUACAAGAUUGCCAUCGCCCCUUCACUGCUGUUCAGAUUGAAAUUUCUAUUUAUUUACGAAAUUGCCACCGCACUGUGUGCAAUACUUUUCCGUCUGUUCCAUCCUCUCUUUCAUACCCUCUUUCUCUCCCGACUCUCUCUGUAAACAUCCAUCAAAUCCCCCCAUCCCUCCCUUUUCUCACUUUGUAACUUCCCUCAGAUCCCUCACCGAUUCUCUCUCUCGCCAUUCUCAGUCUCGCCAGCCGCGAACUCCUUGACGGCUCGCCAUUCUCACUCUGUAUGUUCGGCUGAGAGAACUCAUUCAACCGCAGAAACGAGGUGUGAAGGUGCGGACUUUACCAAUUCUGCGCUUUCUUUUCCAAUUAAUAUCUGAAAAUUUACAAUUUUAAAAUUUUUGUUUUAUCAGAAACGAUCGGAGGAAGUGGGAAAUGGCGAGUGCAGUGGACCCAAUUUCAUGGCAGGUUGGUUUAAAGCAGUUCCAAAAUUUGCGAUCGUUUUAGAUAUUUUUAGGUUUUUCUGAUUUUUGAAAAAACCAUGGUUAAGAGUAAAUUCAUUAUAAUUUAAUUUUUAUUGAAUUCAGGUAACCAUCUUCAGUUUUUCGGUUUGAUUUAAAGGGAUUUUUUAGGUAGAAAAGCUAGGGCUUUCCGGUGAGUUCUUCGGGUUGUACAUCCGGGUGGCUUUAAUUUGUUUAAAUUUGGGGCUUUUGUGAUUUGGGACUUAUAAAUGGUUUGAAAUUUACGUUUUUCUAAUUUCAGUACCCACUCAGAAGUUUGUACUGCCUCAUCAUUAGAACUGUUUCCUUUUGCUCUUCUUCUCGAAACAAGGUUGCAGAUCCACAGGCCAUCAAGAUAUGUCAUUUAAUUAUAUAUUGUAUAUGUAUGUAUUGUAUUAUGCAUGUGUGUGAAUGCGUUUUUCUCUGUUAAUCUGUAUUGGUUUUCUUCUGAUUUAGUUAAUGGACUUUGUUUUUAUUUCAGAUAAUUUGGUUCAUGCUAAAGUUAUUGAAAGUACGAUGGAACCAGUGAUCUUUCAAAAAGGUUGGUUCUUCUAUAUUUGUAUCCCUUUGGUGGUUUUGAAUGGACUUCCUGUAUUCUUAGUGAAGCUAAAUUGAAUAGCUGUUUUUCGUAUACUGUAUUUGCUUUGUUAAAUUAGUUCUUUUUUUGUUGAAAAAUGUUAUUUGGUUUUGCAGAUCAAAGUUUUUCAGCAAGAAAAUUAUCUGUCAAAUUAAAUUUAUUGUUAUAAUUCUAUAUGUUCUUGGUUUGCAUUUAUUUUACUUGAUUGUAUUAGUGGUUGCUUUUGUUUUCAUCCAUCUACCAAAACUUUGCCUACACUGUCCAUCUCUGUUCUCCGCCGUCCGUGACUGUAAGUCCUUUUUCUUUUUCCAGAUUUUUCAAUCCUUUUAUGUUUCAUUUUAUGAAAUCUUCAUGUUUGUGCAUAUAUAUAUGUGUAUAUAUUGUUAGAUAUGGGACUGUAAGCAGUAGUGGAUUAGUGUCAAAUUGCACUUAUUUAGUGGUUGGGGUGUAAGUAAUGUGCUUAUGCGUAUGUGUUUGUUAGUUUUAAUUAAGUUUUCUGCAUUUAAAGAGUGGUUAAAGAAAAGUUGUAUGUAAUUGAUUUUCUGCUAUAAUGUUUUGAAUUCCUUAUUUAUAUAGUUCUACAUGUUCUUGGUUUGCAUUUAUUUUACUUGAUUGUAUUAGUGGUUGCUUUUGUUUUCACCCAGCUACGAAAACUUUGCCUACACUGUCCUACACUGUCCAUCUCUGUUCUCCGCUAUCCGUCAUUGUAAGUCCUUUUUCCUUUUCGAGAAUUUUCAAUCCUUUUAUGUUUCAUUUUCUGAAAUCUUCAUUUUCAAUGCAUAAGUAAAUCUGGGCUGAAAUUCCUCUCUAGGGAUUUUCGUUUGUAGUAGGAUUGAAUCGUUUAAAUUCAUCUUCAUCAUUGUAUGAGAGUGGCCAUUUUUUAUGUUGUUGUCAUCUUUCUUGAUAUCCUAAUUGAUUUGACUGGAUUAAUAUGAACUUAGUAAUGCAUUCUGGCAGCAGUAUGCAUGUUAAUUCAACCAGAGAGUUAAGGUUCUAUCACACAACAGGAAACUGGAUUGAUACCUACUACCUGGCUAUCAGUAAAUGCUUAAUAACAAAUUUAGAUAGAUUAUAAAGGUUCAUGCAUUCACAAUCUCAUUUUAAACUUGAAGGUAGUUGAGCUGAAUAUACUGAAAGAUAGAGAUGUGCGCACCGCUUUCAUCAUUUCAGUUAUGAGAAAAAUGUUUGAAAAUAAAAUAUAUUAAUUUUUGGUUCGAAUUAUUUAAUCCACAUGAGAGCUAUUGCCUUAAGGUCAUGAGUUUUUUGUUGUAAUUGGCGUUUCUUAUGGGUCAACACAACACAAGCUUUACUAGAGCACGAGCUAAUACUUUACUAGACUAAAGUAGAAUGAUUGUGUUUUCCAAUUUGUCUGAUUGUAAUCAAUCAAUAAUUUAUUAAGCCAGUAGAUUAAAGUAGAAUGAUUGUGUCUUCCAAUUUACUAGAGCACUAGCAAACAAUCAACUUUCUGAAUCCCAAUUUGUUUGCAGCGUGUCAGCAAUGAAUUAAAACAGUUUAUGGUAGAUAAUCAAUUGGAAACAGCUUCAAAUGGGAAGUUGGGCUGAAUUGGCACUUGAUUGGGCUUUAGACUGAGAGAGUAAUCUGGUACAAUAGAGCCGAUACUAACAUCUGGUUCUGUCUAGACUCUAAAUCACAUCUUUGGUUGUCACAUUUGAAACUUUGAAUUCUUGAGUUUAUACAAAUUUUAAUUCUCAUUAGUUAAUGCUUAACAUUUGGCCUUUUGUUUAGAAUAAAAUCAUUCCAAUUUUUUGGUGUGUUUUUAGGGGGGAUUUGGGAUAUGGUUUAUGUUUGGCCUAUGUGAGUGAUCCCUGCUACAGGAAUGACCUCUAUUAAAUUUGAUUUUCCUAAGCAUUUCUUUUGUUUAAUGUCAAAACUAUUUAUAAAUCAUAUUUAUAAGCAAGUGUUUAUAUUAGGAGGUGGUACGUUGACUAAGCUUUUAAAUUAGAAGGUGGAGCUGUCUUUAAGGUUUAAUGCAAUAGAUAAGUGGGUUAGAUUUCUUAACUUUUAAAUUGAAUGUACCACUGAUGUGGGUUUUUGACCUUCUAUUGGAUUUAUCACUGGGUUAAAAAUUCUAAAGAAAUGCAUGAACUUGGUGGUUAUAAUGAUGUGUUUUGCUGUUAGGUUUGGGUAUUGGCAAUGUGGGUCAGAUCCCAUUUUCUGUGACACUGCAGGUUUCUGCCUUUGGGAUUUGUGAAACAGGAAAAACGAAUUUUGGGUGUCUGAGUCCAAGGCCAUAAAAACCAAAUCUUUCAACAAAUUUAUAGACCUUUGCAGAGUUAUGAUUAACAGAGAUUUCGUGAAGUGCAGUAUUUGAGUCUGUUUUUGGCUAAAUGUGAACAUUGUAAUACAUUGGUAAGGAGAUGCCUUGAAUUUUCCCUUAUCUGGACAGUACUGAAAUCAGUAAUGUGAAACCUCCUUAGUUUACGUUCCAUUGUUGGAGGAAACUCUAUACAACUUUUGAUUUGCCAAAUAAUCUGCAUGCUGUGUAGGUGCUUUAUAGUGCAUGUAAUCAUAUCAAUAUUUCUUGGGGAUGGAUGGAGGGUUGUGUGGGUAUGCUAGGCUGAUAGCAUACUUUUUUGCUUCAAAACUGAGUUGCUAUGGUGCUUCUUGGAUUUCAGAACAUUGGCUAUGUUCUAUGGUACACCAGCCUAUACAAUGUUAUACGGAAUAGGACCAAAAUAUUUGCUUUUUGAAAGCGCUAAUGAGCAAGAAAAUGGAAAUCUGUAUUGAAAUGGAAGCAUGUUCAAUUUAAUGUUUGUUAAAGGACCUUUUUUUUAUUAUGGUUUCUUCGGAGUUUAUUUUUCAUUCAGUGAUGUAAAUAAUUUUCAUCUUAAUUUGUUUGUUUAAUAUAGGUAAGGGUGCUCUGCAAGAAGGCCAAGGAAAUAUUAAUGGAAGAAAACAAUGUCCAGGUGGGCCUUUUUAGUUGCAAGUUUCUGUUUCAUGUCUUUCUUUGUAUUGUUUCAUACAGGUUUUGGACCUAUAAAGAUUUGGGCAUGUCAUGAGGUAAAUGAAUAACCAUUUUGGGUUUUAUGUGUUGCAGCCUGUAAAAAGCCAUGUAACUAUCUGUGGUGAUAUUCAUGGACAAUUCCAUGAUCUGGCGGAGCUUUUCCACAUUGGAGGAAAGGUAUUGUUCUGAUUUGGGCUAUUUAAUUUAUCGUAUGUGUUCUUCAAGGUUGUUAAUUGGUUGCUACUUAUUGGUGAUGUUUUCUCUUUCUUAUUUUGUAGUUUUCUGGUUUGUUCUGCUGGAUGGUUCACUUUCCAAAAAUAACAUUAAUUUCCUGUUGCAAUUUUUUUGCAGUGCCCAGAAACAAACUAUUUGUUUAUGGGAGAUUAUGUGGACCGUGGCUAUUAUUCAGUUGAAACAGUGACUGUAAGUAUUGAAUAUUUUUAUUUCUACUUCUUAUCUUUCAAUUAGUUAAGCUAUAAUUUUAGGGUUCUCCUUCUGGCACUAAGAUAAAUGUAUUUUGGAAACUCUGUGUAAUGAUUUGGUUUGAUUAUUUAGGGUUUUGAUCAAUGGCAAGCCCAAAAGGCCUUACUAUCUGCCUCUGGAGGUAUGCCAGUUUCUUUUGAUUUUCAUAUUAUUCUUUCUUAGACUCUUAGUCUUAUCUUUUUGGAACUCCUUUGUCUGAUAUCUAGAUUUGUGCUUCCCCAUGGGGUUUCUCUUGGUGUUUUAGCUUUGUUCAUUUGUUUCGCUUCAACGGUAUACAAAAGCAUUAUCUUCAAAGCAGAGGGCAUCCUUAGUUGAAAAAUUAAGUCAGAAGCCUCAGGAAAGAAUAAGAACUAUGACUGAUAUAGGUUUGUAGGUCAUGAAAGGUUUAGUUUCUUUACCACAUAUUGUAAUAAUUCUUCUUGCUCAUUUGAUUUACUAUUGCAGGCUAUGAAAAAAUACCAGUAUGAUGAUGAUCCUGUGCUUGCUACAUGUGGUAUUUCUAUAAAUAAGGACUUGACUCAGGUCAAGGGCGGUGUUCUUGAGACUCCGAAGGUAAACUGUCACUUUAUCUAUGGGCUCUGCGGGGUUUUUUUGGGGGGGAUUUGCGACUUGGAUAUUUCAAAUGAGCUCAAUGUGGCUCAUAGGUUGCAUCGAAUGCACAAAUGAGCUCAAUAUGGCUCAUCGGUUAUAGAGAAUUAGAAUUUGCAACUUGGAUAUUUCAAAUGACUAACAAUUUGACUUUUCUUCCCUGUCAAUUUUAGUGCUUUUUCUUUUCUUAUUACUUUUAGGAGUUCAUUUUUGAGAUAUAUUAUGACUAACAAACUUGAAUUUUUUGCUAUUUAGUAGUGAAUUUGUAGCACAGUGGAAAUAUGUGGAAUGAGGGCGAUGUCUUCUACUUGCUCACCCAAAGGUUCCAAUUUUUUGCAUUCUUUUGGGUUUUUUUUUUAAUUUUAUUUAUGAAAUUUGAUGACUAAUUUUUAAAUAAUGAGAAAUUAGUUCUUCGAUGUGAAAUGUUCAUUUUUCAGUGUUUCUAUUAAAACAAUGAAAUCUUAAUCUUCUAUCAAAUGGGCUGUAAUUUCAAAUGUUUUAAUGUAAACUGUUCACUGAUUAUGGUUGUAGUGGGUUGGUCUGAAUUGCAGGAUUAUUAAGGUCUGGAAAAGUUGUAGCCUGAGAUGGACCAACUAUCAGAGGCCAAACUUGAAGAGAGGUCUUUUAUCAUAAUAUGAGGAGAAGAUAUGUGGAUGAAGAGGUGAGUGAGAGAAAUGGUGAGGUUUUAUUUUCUGAUUUGGAUUUUGAAAUUGAGUAAUUUUCUGAUUUGUGUCUUUUGAGUAGGUGUGGGAUUUAGUUUCAUGCCAGGGGUUGUAAUGGGUGGAUUGGAUGUAAAACUUUCUUUUCGAAUUUCAAUCCCCCUUAAAUCUCUUCAUUCCAACCAAACAUUUGAGGAUUUGGUUUUAAUUGUUUGUUUGGACUUUUGAGCUUUUGACCAAUUAUUUGGAUGCUAGGAAAAUUUACAUGCUAUUUGGAUACUAGGAAUAUUCAUGGAACGCAAACAAGAUUGUUUUCAUAAUUUUUUGAGAAAUGUGGAAUUUCGUUUCAGAUGGUAGUGACUAUUUUUCAAAAUCCUAUAAUCUGAUCGAAGUUCUGAAUUUCUAUUAAGAUCAAUAUUAGUUGUUUUUGGUUCAAGAAAUUCCAACAUUCUUUGUUGGUCCUUGAAAUUUUCAUUAGCAUUGAGUAUAGUGGUUGUUGGGGCAGGUGUGCAUGGAAGAUGAGAAGACGAUCUUCAUGUCCCUCGAAACUUCGGGAAGCUCGAUGAUUCGUCUAUGUUUCGCAAACAGGUUUGUUCAUUUUCUAAAUGUUAAUAUUUAGUGUAUUUACACUCAGGUGUUGAGCCAUACGUAUAUAGAUGUAUGCAUGUUAUUUGUUUUCCCCAUAAUUUUCAUAUAAUUUAUGAAGAAUGUAUACGAACGACAACGAUUGAGUGGAUUAUGCAAGUCUCACCAUAUAAAUUGUAAAUUCCACAUGAUUGUUCUCCUUCCCCCUCUCAAAACAUAGUUUGGGUGGAUUAAUUAAGAUAUGUGUAGUUAAUCUUUUUGUUUGUCUACAAGUCCUGGUUUCAAACUUUUGAUGCUUGGUGACUAACAAUGUAACAUAUAAUUAAUGGGGCAGGCAGUGACACAUUUGGGCAGGGCUUAGAGAGGCAGACCCCAUAUGGUGUAUGCCUACACCAACAUGACCAAGGUGGUUAGCCCUGCCGGCUGGAGCGACGAUAACCACCCUGAAUGUAACAAGUAAGCAGAUUAUGUCAUUUAAAACAUGAUUAAGCAUUUUCAUAUAAUUAGUUUUGAGAGUUAAUAAUAUAAUUUGAAAUUGCAGCAAUGUGGCCUGUGAAGAGUACAAGCGCAUGUGUCACAGCCCGUUCCAAAUUAUUAUAUUCGUGGCUGUGAAUGGACGAAAUUGCCCUUAAGAAAUACUAAAUUUGUGAAGCUCAGGUUGCUAAUUAUCUAGGUUCCUAAGUUUGAAAAUAAAAUGGAAUUUAAUAAGGAUGGAACUUAUAUUUUUAGGUUAAAAUGUUAAAGUUUGGUGUUUGGAGAUUGGAAUAAGGACCACGUGGGAUCCCCACAUCCCUCAAAACCCUCCUCAUUUCCCGUUCACUGUCUUUCUCUCUCCUCCUUCACGAUUUCUCACUCUCUCUGUCUCUCUCCUUCGAACUCACACGGACCACCACCAAAACCACCCUAAAUCUAUACCAACGUCAAGUUUAAGACCACAUUUGGACUCCUGGAACUUCCACGAUCACGUAGACACCAAUUUCAGGUAAGUUUUACUUCGGAAAACCUAGAUUCUAAACUCCCCGUGGAAGAGCACUGUUCAUGAUCUUCUAAAUGACUACGUUUUAGGCUAAAACAAGAUCACAGCGAGCUUAGUGAGGUCCCAAGGAAGCUCGGAGUGCUUCGUUGGAAGUUUUUGGACGUAAGAACACGGAGAUCGACAAGCUCAAAGUUUGGCCGGAGCUUUCGAGGCGUUUUCCGGCGAAUACCCGGCGAGUUAGGAGUCUAGGUAGGUAUCAAUCUCUUCGUCUCGUCAAGUACUACAACUUUCCUUUUUGUUUCACUCAAUUUCGUUGAGUAUUGAAGAAGUUAUACUCAUUUGAAAAAUACCCAGUUUCCGGCGACCUCCGAGGAUUUCGAGGCAGUUUCCGGCCAAACCACGGCGAACUAGGUGUUUUGCAAGGUACCAUUCUCUUUGUCUCUUCAAGGGCUACAACUUUAGUUUUUGAAUCACUUGAUUUCGUUGAGAGAAAUGACAAAGUUAUGGCAAUUUGAAAAACUGCCCGGAAAACGGCCGCCGGAAAAACCAGUCCGGCGACCCAAGGAAGAAGAAGGUGCUACAGUAAAAAUAAAAAAUAAAAAUAAAAUUAUUUUAAAAAUAUGUCGACGUCCGUGACGUCGAGUAGAUCACUGUGGUAUAUUCAUAUACCUAAAUUGAACACCGUAUGAGAAAGUUAUUGAAGAUUGUUGGUUAGGUGUUCAAAUAACGUUUUAUAGUUUUCACAUUUAGGUGAAAAUGUGAAUUGAUGAUCCGACCGUUGGAUCAUCACCAAACUUUGAUACGUUAUAAUACGUAAUAUUUGAGGAUUAUUGGAACUUACGGAUUGGGAAUCCGAGUUACGGAUCUUCCGGAAUUGGAAUUUUAAGUCCAUAAUAUAAAAUGUUAACCGUCACUUAGUUUUGGAAAUUGACGGAAAUCCAACCGUUGGAUGGUAAUGAAAUUUUAGGAUGUUGUCCUAGAGGUAUAAUGUGGACCUCUGGAAGUUAUGGAUUUAAAAUCUGAGUGGCAGAUCUUCCGGAUACGUACUGACGUUUAUAUUUAAGAUAUUCUAUCGAUAUGAAUUCUGAGGUUGGAUUUGAUUACUAUUCUAGGCGGCGAUCGUCGUGACGCCUUGAUGUGUGGUGCUAGGGAGUUGUUGGAUGAACUCCAGGUGAGUGGGCAGUUUUGUUUUCCGUAUAUAUAUAUAUACUUAACGUUUUUCCCAGAAAUUGAAAAUGCAUGAAAUUAUGUUUAAAAUGAAAUGCAUAUGAGUUAUGUGGAAAAACGGGAAGUGAAAUACCAUGCAUAGAAUUGAUAUGAAAAGUAUAUAGAAAUGUGAGUUGAAAUGCCAUGCAUAAUAAUAUAUAUAUAUGAAUGUUAUGAUGCAUAUUAUUGGUGCGGUGGACGCACAGAUGAUGAUUUAAUUAUGAUGCAUGAUGUGAUAAAAUUGAGGUCAAGUGCACCAUGGUUAGCUUAUAGUAUUCACCGCAUUCGCCUUGGAUUGCAAGUAGAUGCUAGUCGUACAGUCCACGCAUUGGGAAACGACAGACCAGUUGAAGUCGCGAGAGUGUUAGUGAAUUCGACUGGUGGGUGACCUUAGAUUAUGUGCACAGAUGAUUUAUAGAGAAGCACUAGAGCGUAACUUGUGUGCAGAAGCCGGACGGGUCACAGAGGUGACUCCGGUUAGAUGGUAGAUAGUAUAUGAGAUCUAGGUUGAACUUUUUCCGCAUUGGAUUAAAUACGGAUGAUACUUGCAACUGUAUGCCUAUGGUGAUGAUGACAUGAGCCAGAAUGAUGAGAAUUGUGAGAUUGGUGGAUAAAUGAAGUUUGUGAAAAUUGAAUUGAAGAUGUAUAACAUUUUGACAUUUCUAGGAAACGUAUAGGGUUUUGGAGAAGAUGUUUUACCGAUUUGAUUUACAACUGACUUGUUGAUGAAUGAUAAAUUUGUUGACUUUGAUUAUACCUUAUUGACUGUUGAGAUGUUGUUUGGCAUGGCAUAUUAAUAUUGAGAAAUGUUGUUGAUGAGCAUGCAUAAUGAUGAUAUGAGAAUUGAUGAAUACAAAAUGAUACGAUGAUAUAAAUUUUAAUGUUUACAGAUUUGAAAAAAUAGGUUUAGUUUUGAUGAGUUUGGUUGGAUUAUAAGGAAAUUUUUAUUUAAGGUUUUUUGAGUUACAGGUUUUACUACAACGUUUUGAGAAUUUUGCGAUUUUCAGGACCACAAAGUUGCCCCUCCAGGUUCACAAAGGGAAUUACGACGGGUGUUCUGACAGAUUGGACAAAAUUAGGACUCAACCUUCAACUUAUAAAUUGUAUCUUAAAGCUUCCGUACUGCGCAAAUGGUUACGUCACUCUCACGUGACGGCCAGCAUGCCCUCCUUCGGGACGGGGUGUGUCAGUUGGUAUCAGAGCAUGGUUGCAAUCUUGGACAUUUUGAGAAGUUCUAGUGAAUUCUGUCAGAACUACACCGCCUCGUAGCAAACCACGUAGUUAGAGGAAUUUAGUCUCCCUGAUUUAGCGGUUUGGGGGAAACUAUUAUUAUGGUGAUUCAGUAUAUUAUCAAAAUGGACAUUUUAAGACGGGUUAUGAGUUGAAUUUGAAUCACCUUAUGAAAUGAUGAACCUGAGGGAGCGGAGUGACGGUUUAACCAAUUGGAAAAGAUGUUUCAGAUUAUGCAAGUCAAAGGAAAUUUCCUUCUGACAGUGGGUCGAGACGACUACCUGGUUUUGGGUAUGAAUUUGCAUCCUGGUGGAAACAGGAAUGUUAAUUGUUGUCACCAGAGGAAUCAGCCGAUUUAAAAUUUUUUUAGGAAAAGUUUAUCCCUCCGGCAUUUAUUGAUGGUAGUAAACAAGAGUUUACAAAUAUGAGAUAAGGAAGGUGAUGAUCGAGGGAUAUUAUAGAAAGUUUUCAGACUUGCCUCGUUCCAUCCAGAUAUUGUUGUUAAUUUGGUGGAGGUGUUAUGUUGUUUUAAGCUGGGUGGCAAAAAGGGAAGUGGUAUUUUGGGUGACCACUAUCCAUUGUAGUUCUUAUCAGGAGUAUGCUAGAUGUUGUUGAGCCUUGAGGACUCUGAGAACAUGAGCAACGAGAAUAAAGAAGAAUAAGAAAAGAAUGGGAAUUAAAAGAAGACAAUAAAGUUAAUGAUUCGUCAUAUCAAGAAUAUCGAAGGAUUCAGAGCUUCGAAAGAAGUGAAGCUAGAGUUAAUUCUUCCAGCUGAGGUUUUAAUGUCGCUGGUCAGAGUAAAAGUGAUGGAUAUACUGGUAAUCCCAGAUAUUUGAGACAAGGUGUCUCGAGUAAAGGAAAUGUACUUUGUGCAGCAGGUACAAAAUUAACACUUUGGGAAAUGUGAAAUUAAUGAAUGUGUUUAUGUGAACAGAAGGGACACAGAGUUGUGAAUCGUCCCUAGAAUCAGUUGUACUCAAUAAUUUUCCAUGAUAUCAUAGUGUCGAUUCAGCAGAGUUAUGGACUUAGUAGUUUGGUCGGAUUGACCGUGAGUACAGAGAGAUUUGAUGAGUUAUAUGUUCAGCUGUACAGACCAUGAGAAGUGGAUUCGAUUGACACAUGAGAAAUUAGUGAGUUAUAGGCUCGGCCGUACCGACCACGCGGAGUGGAUCCGGCCGACGUAUUAUUGAGAUAAGAGUUGAAUCAACCGUAUUGGUCAUUCUAGUUGACUUCGGCUGAUAUAUUUCUUAUUAUGUAUGAUAUUACCUAGAGAGUGGUAAAUAAAUGUAGUUGAGACGAGUGUAUGUAUUUUGCAUUGAGUGACAAAAUAGUAAUGUUAUAUCUUUGUGAGUGGUUGCCUACUUAUCGAGACAACGAUGAUUUAUCAGUAUUGCGGGCUGCAGACCGUAAUAUUAAUAACUCAUUCGUGGAUUCGUUAAGCAAGCAAACCGGUAGGUUAUUUUAUGUUAAUGUUGUACUUAUUUAGAAUGUUCAGUAUUAAUAAAGUAUGUAUUGUGUCGGUUAAAUUAUUUCCAUUAGAGUGGUUGGUUAUAAUUGUGACUAAAUGGAUUGUUACGGGAAACCAGUCACUUUCCAUCGAUCUGGAUGACCAGAGAUUACUUUUGUAAGUAUGCAAAGUGAAGUGAGUUCAGCCAUUAUUUAUGCUGUGUGAAAGCAAAGAGAUUGUUUUGAAAGGCUGUCAAAAAUACUUAGCUCAUGUGGUGCUAAAUGAUGUUGUUUGGAGUAGUGUGAAUAAUGUCGAAAGAGUUAGACUUUUCUUGAUGUCUUCUCUGAAAGUAUACCUGGAUUGUCUUCAGGCAGAGAUAUGAGGUUCAUUAUUGAUUUGUUGCCAGGUAUAAAUUUAUGUUAAAGAUUGGUUCAUGAUGAGUUAAGGGAAUUGGAAAUUCAGUUGAGAGAAUUGGUUGAUAAAAGUUUUAUUCAACCUAGUACAACACUUUUGAGGAGCCCCAGUUUGUUGGUGAGGAAGAAAAUGGAUCUUGAGACUGUUCAUUGAUUAUAGACAAUGGAGUCGGGUAACGAUUGAGAACCGUUAUCCAUGGUGAUGUACUGAUGUUUAUUUAACCAGCUCAGAAGUAAUUGCGAAGAUUCAAAGAUUGAAUUGAGGUCUGGUUAUUACCAAUUAAAGAUUAUGAGCGACGUUGUUCUUAAGAUUGUUUUAUGAACUAUGGUGAUGCUAUAUGGAUACUCAUGCUGUUUUAUGAGUUAUUGGAUGAAGUAUUCCAAUAAUGCCUUGAUAAAUUGAUAUCAUUUCCAUUGAAGAUAUUCUGGCAUAUUCUGAGCCAGAGCAGAGUAUGUAAACGUAUUAAGUCAAUGAAGCAAAGAUUGAGAGAACGUUAGUUGUAUGCUAAGUUUAGCAAAAGCUAAAGUUAAAUGGAUCAAGUGGCAUUCUAAAAUUUGUUAUGUCUACUUAAGGUAUUCAAGUGAAUCCUUAAAGGAUAGCAGAAAUUGAGAAUUUGGAACAACCACGAGUCGUAAUUGAGAUUUGGAAUUUCUUAGCUUACCAGGCUAUUUUGGAUGGUUGUGAAAGAAUUUUUAGUCAUUGCUUUGUCAUUAACGAGACUGAUGAGAAAAGAGGUUGUGUAUGAGUGGGAAGGAAUUGUAAGCAAAGGAUUCAACAACUGAAGUAUUUCCUCACUCAUGCACGUAUUUUGGUAUUCCCAGAGAAUAAUGGUAAUCAUAAAUUUUUAGUGAUGUUUCUUGAAUGGUAUUGGAUGCAUGUUGAUGCAAAUGUUAGGGUGAUUGCAUACGUUUCACGAUAAAUGGAACCUCAUGAGAUGAAUUACCCUACUAGUGAUUUGGAAGUCACGAUUACCAUCCUUGCUGUGAAGUUAUGGAGACAUUAUAUUUUAGUGGGAAUGCAAGAUUUUACAAAUCAAAAGAGUCUUCAAUAUCCAUUACUUGGAAGGAUUUUGAUAUGAGGCAGCGAAAGUGAAUUGUAUUGCUUAAUGAACAUGAUUGUACGAUCAGGGUGAUCGUAAAGUUUGUUCUAGCUGAAGCACUUGAUAAGAAGACUGCAGUAAGAAUUAAUAUCUGGUACGCUUGCCAAGAUUAUCUUCUUGUGGAUUGGAAAUCAACUAAAGUAAAGUUAAGAAUGAAAGAUCGAGAAGAAGUUAUACUUGCUAAGUUUCAAGUUAGGCCUUUUGGUAAGGUCGUACUCGAGACUCAAAUGGUAUGUGGAUACAAGAAAACAAAAAGUAUGUGCCUAAUGCUGAGGAUUUGAAGCAAGCAAAUAUUGGACGAAGUUCACUGUUCAACUUCUGCAAUAUUCCGAAAGUAAUAAGGUUUAUCAUACCAUUCGACAUUUUUAUUGGUCAGCAGAUUGAGGCAGAAAGAAAUAAACCUUUGGAUUGAGACAGCUAUUUUCUGUUUCGAAACGGAAAUGGAAAGAGAAUUGGAUUACGGAACUGCUAAGUUUCUUAAGUAUGUUGGUUGCGCAGUUUCCGAAGUGAAGCCAUAAGGUUCAUGAAGUGUGUCAUGUGUGUGUUUUGUUGACUUGUGAAUGGAAUAUUUCUGGGUAGAGAAAGAUUCGAUCGAGAAAGAGUUUUAGUAGACCCUGAGACUAUGGAUGAGUCUCCUCAAGUAUUCAGGUGAUUAAGUUAACCUAAAAGUAACCAGGAAUGACAAAAGACAUCAACAGAUGGAUAUGCCACUAAUCGAGUAUAUAAGGCAAAUGGUUUUAUAUUUUAGAAGUGUUCACCUUAGAAAAGUAGAAUUUGGAUUGGAAAAAGAAGGUCCUGAGAGUUAAGAUAGAGUAAAUGGUAAAAGUUUUGUGAAGGAAUCAUUCAGUGGAAGAAAAUUACGUGGGAGAAAAAGAAUCGGAUGAAAGAAACUUACCGAGGUUGGUAUAAGUGUUGAUGAAUUGGUUGGUUGCUGGAAUUUCGGGGACGAAAUUCUAUAAGGAGGGAAGAUUGUCACAGCCCGUUCCAAAUUAUUAUAUUCGUGGCUGUGAAUGGACGAAAUUGCCCUUAAGAAAUACUAAAUUUGUGAAGCUCAG